rnacentral:lncRNA from 1 species
AAUAAGAAGCUGUGAUGUGGCUUUGUUAACUUCAAUUGCAGCCUUGCUCGCUGAAGAAGCUGCAAAAUGUUCAGAAGACGAAUCCAAACCCUCAGGUGGGUUAUAGGGAACUCCAUGAGCAGUACACCACUGCAUAAUCAAAUUUCUCAGAGCCCUAUUGGGCACAAGCCUUGUGUGAAUAAGAGUCAGUCCUGUCUUCGGGCAAGUACAAUGCCCCUCUUUCAUCCACCUUGUUAUUGAAGAUCGAUCAUAAUUCUGGCCUGUGCAUAUUAUGACAGGGUCUGUCAUCAAAUCCAACGUAAUUGGACAAGAAAAAUCCUUCGGAAUUGAAAUAAACGUGUCCGCAAUUUCUUGACUAAUCAACCCUUUCUUGGUUUUCCUAUGUUUACCCAUUCCCAACCCCACCUCAUCAUUCUCAAAAACAAACAGCAGGAACCGACAAUAUCGAGCCAGUGCCACAAACCCAUUAAGCACAGAAGCAGAAGGCUCAACAUCCCCUUCGUGAUUAAUAAUCUGCUCCUCCAGGAACUCAAUUUCAACCGUAAAACUAUUAAUAUCUAAAAUUUGCAAUCUUUCCACGAAAAAACAAUACAAUGCAACGGUAUCAGGAAUCCUCCCAUCCUCAAAGUCAUUCAGAAAUGAAAAGAAUUUUAAUCUCAACACCUCAUCCUGUUUAUCAAUCAGCAAUUUUGCCCUUAUAGAUUGUUUUUGUAACAAUUCAAUCUGUUCCCUCACAUCAUCGCUCAAGUUCAAUUCUUUAAACGGGAAAACAUCCAAAAGGGUCGAUAUUUCUUUAUUCAAAUCAUGAAAAUGGCCAGAAAUCGAAUGGUUUUGUAGCAAAAGCCACAACUUACUCGAUUGAGCGCAAUAAUCAAGCAAAAUUUUGGAUCUAUACAACAGUAAAUACAGCUCUUUGAAGCAAACAAUCGCCGUUGACGGCAAAUUAGACCGUGAAUCACCAAGAUACUCCAAAAGAAGUACAAAUACCUCAAUUUUUCGAACCAGAGACCGCGAAUUCUUCCGCUGGAACGGCAACUUCUUGCCUGAAAAAGAUGAGAUCAGCUCCACAAAUACUGCAGUACGAAUCUUCAAUAGCGCCACGUCAGUCAAAUCCACCGGCGCUAAAAACGCCUCAAGCGACGGCAACCUUCUCUUCCUUAAGGAGGAAAAAAUCGCAGCUGAAGCCAUCAAAACCCCCAGAUUCGAGCAAAAUAAUAAAAAAUUAUUCUGCUUUUACCCAAUUGAUGAUUUGGGAUUGAAAUUAUUCUUCAGAUCUGAAAAGGGUGGUGGUUUAUUUUAUGGUGGGAUUGAAUUGAAUACUACUAUGUGUCCGUUGAAUAUUGGGCAAAAAAUGGAAUCCGCGUUUGGAGAAGAGAAGAGGAAAGGUUGUGUUACUAUAAUGAAUGUCAAAUAUGUGUCUGACAGAAUUUAUUCCUACUUUGCAUUGCUGUUGGUCAUUCUAGAAAAUAAGAAUUCAUUGUUUUUCAUUAUCUACCAAACAGUUUAUUUCUUAAAUAAUAAAAAUUAAAAAUUAAAAAUUUCAACAUUCAAAACAUCAAAUUAAUAAUAAUUUUAUAAUUUAUAAAAAAGAGAGUAUAAUUUAUCGAUUAUAUUCUAUUUUAAAAUAAUUUUUUUUAUUUUAAAUUUAAAAUAAUUUAUAGAGUGAGUAUUGAAUGAAUUGUAGUUACAAAUAUACAUAAGAUCAAUAUUAAUUUUUAAAAAAAUUAAUUUGUGAUAUUUUUAAAUUUAAUAUGAUUUAUUUAAAAUUUGAAAAUAAUAGAUUUUAUAAUUAAUAGUACUUUUAUAAUAUUUAUAAUUAUAUUGAUAUAAAUUAAAAAAAUUUAUAUCAAUUUUAAAUUUGAAUACGUUUAAAAUUAAUUUUUAAAAAAUAAGUCAAUAUUAAGUUUAUAAUUUGAAAAUAAAGUAGUAAAACAAUGUCAAGAUGUGUAUGAUUGAUGAGUUGUCCAUUUAAAUGAGGGUCUGAAAUGUCAUUUUGUAUUCGUUGCACCCAAGACAAAUAGAACUUUCACUACCUGUUUUUACUUGAAACACAAAGCUCAUGGUUAUACCAAUUCACAGUUUAUGUUUAUAAUUAUGCCAUUAAAUUCAUCUUUGCACUACGGCCAAAGACAUACAACUGUAAAAUCAAUAAUCAACAGUCAAUCUUUGCACUACGGGCCAAAGAUAUACAACUGUAAAACCAAUAAUCAACAGUCCAUCUUUGUACUACGGGCCAAAGAGGACUUUCUCCACAUCAUUCGUCUGUAACAUUAAAUAUUUUACAUCAUCGAAUUAUCCAUGCACUAUGGGUCAAGAAUAUUCGUUAGUAUCACCAGUGUUCAUGAUCAUGUUAAACAACUGUCCAUCUAUGCACUACGUGCCAAAGAGAAUUUUUACCACAUCAUUCGUCUGUAACAUUAAAUAUUUCACGUUAUCGAAUUAUCCAUGCACUACGGGCCAAGGAUAUUCGUUAGUAUCACCAGUGGUCAUGAUCAUGAUCAUGCCAAACAACUAUCCAUCUAUGCACCACGUGCCAAAUAAGACUUUUCACCAUUUAAUGAUAAGCUAAAGAAAAGAAAAAUAAUAUCUUACCAUAAUAUGGAGUAUGAAAGAAAAUGAUAUAUCUUUACCAUAAAAAUGAUACCCUUACCUUGGCAUGUGAUUUGAUUCUGCUUUCUGUGAAAUCGAUCAACUUAAACAAUGCUUGCAUUCCUUAUCUACACUUGGAGUAACCUUACACUCAAUAGAAAUACUCACAAUAUUGUAGUAAAAGAAUUUUAUAAUUUUUUUAGUGUAGUGAUGAUGUGUGUUUAGUUGCUCAACCGGGCAACCUAUUUAUACUGAAAAUUGAGAAAACAAUUAACACGCACCCUUUGAAAAAAUAACUAAAUGGGCUGUAUAAAAUAAUGGUAGUGGAAUUUAUGGCCCCAUAGAGAAAAUUAAACCAACUUGUACACGUUUUAACAAUAAUUGAGUUGUGGUCCAGAGUACUUUAGAAAAACUAGAGUGUCGACAAGUCCUGCCAAACUUAUCUUUGUAAAAAAAAAUAAUUAAACAAAUAUCUGCAUAUCAUACUUAUCUUUAAUCAACACCCUUUUUAAUAUUUGAAUGAUUAUUCACAAUUAUUAACAUAGACUCUCAAUACUGACAACUGAUUUAAUUAUAUCAUAUCAAAUAAUAUGAGUUACUAUGCAAUAAUUACUGUGACAAUUAUUAAAAUAAAUACUGAGUGACGUCUUACGUAAGAAUCAAGAAUAUGAAUCACUGUGUGUGACGCCCCCAAAACAGGUAUACAUCACCUAUUCUAAGUCGCCAAAUACAUGGUAUAGAAUACAAAUACAAUCUUAAAUAUACAACAUGAGCUGUGAGUUUUAAUACAAAUAUUGUCUUCUAGACAAUAUUCAAACUUAAAAUAAGUCCUCAAUACAUUUAUUAACACACUAUUUCAUAGAAUAGUGAGGACUACUAAUGUUAUCAUCUGGACCGUCACUCCGUUCCCCGACUAGUCCCUGCUACGUUCUCAUUUCCUGAAGAGAACAAUGAAAGCAAAAGGGUGAGCUCAACUAGCCCAGUAAGAAAUAUUAUGACUAAGAUAAUGCAGAAUAAAUUAUCAUUAGCCUUNNNNNNNNNNNNNNNNNNNNNNNNNNNNNNNNNNNNNNNNNNNNNNNNNNNNNNNNNNNNNNNNNNNNNNNNNNNNNNNNNNNNNNNNNNNNNNNNNNNNACGGGCCAAUGAGGACUUUUACAACAUCAUUUAUAACAUUACGGUCAUGAUUAUACCGAAUAAUCCCUGGUUAUAAUCAUACCAAGUCCAUCUAUGAACUACAGGCCACAGAUGACUUUCAACAUAAUAUAAACAGGAGGAUGAUGACAAUGAUAUAAGAAUUCAAUAAAACAAGUUUAAGAAUUAAUUUAUCUAGGAACCAAUAACGUCCAAAUUGUCAACAUGAUACUUCUUUGUGGAGUAAAAUUCAAGAAUACUCAGAAGAAUAUUUCCAUAAAAAGAUACUAGAUGAAGCUCAAAUAUCAAGGAUAUUCCACUAAUUUCAUGGAGUAUAAAAGCCAAAACUUUAACCAAUUGAGUAUAAUAAAGAAUGGAAUAACAAAAAGAAAUCACCAGGCAUGCGAUAGACCGCACAUGCAGGUUAUUCCAACAGAAUAAUAAAUAACGGAACUAGGUCAUACGUAAACGCACAGAUAGGAUAUUCCAACAGAAUAAUAAAUAAUGGAACCAGGUCAUGCGUAAAGCACAAACAGGAUAUUCUAACAGGAUAACAAAUAAUGGAACCAGGUCAUGCGUAAAGCACAGAAAGGAUGUUUCAACAGAAUGAUAAAUAAUGGAACCAGGUCAUGCGUAAAGCACAGACAGGAUGUUCCAACAGAAUGAUAAAGAAUGGAUUAAUAGAAGAAUUUCACCAUGUAUGCAGUACUUCGCAUAGACAGGUUAUUCCAACAUAGUAAUAAAGAAUGUAAUCACAGAAGAAUUUCACCAAGUAUAAGGUAAUUCGCGUAUACAGGUUAUUCCAACAGAAUAAUAAAGAAUGGGAUAACAGAAGUUCUCUUCAUGAAUACGAAAGAAAUAAUACCCCUUGCCUUAGAAGAAACUGGAUAUAGAAGUAGUGAAGUAGCAGAAUACUUUUCUUCUUUCUUUCUAUAGUUUCUCUCUCUAGAAUUUUAGUAAAUUCGUAAAAAAUAAUGAAGGAAUGAGCUUCUAUUUAUAGGAGAAUGGACUUAAUAAUAACUAAUUCAUGAACGGUCCAGAUUGAUUUACUUUUAAACGGACGGUCCAUAUUGAUUUACUAUGCAAUAUUAAUAAAAUAUUCUAAUAAAAUAAAAUUCUUUAAAUAAAAUAUAAUAUAUUCUAUUUAUAAUCUAAUAAAACGAAUAACUUUAUAAAAGUAUUCUGUUUUAUAUAAAAAGAUUUUACUAUACAAAUACUAUGCAGGCACUAUGCAUAAUAGAAUAUUAUAUAUUAUAUUUAUAGUCUAAUAAAAUAAAUAACUUUAUAAAAGUAUUCUGUUUUAUAUAAAAAGAUUUUACUAUGCAAACACUAUGCAGGCACUAUGCAAACACUAUGCAUAAUAGAAUAUUAUAUAUUCUAUUUAUAGUCUAAUAAAAUGAAUAACUUUGUAAAAGUAUUUUGUUUUAUAUAAAAAGUUUUCUGUUUUAUUACAUUUAUAAUAAUAAUAAAACAAAACUUAUCACCUUUNNNNNNNNNNNNNNNNNNNNNNNNNNNNNNNNNNNNNNNNNNNNNNNNNNNNNNNNNNNNNNNNNNNNNNNNNNNNNNNNNNNNNNNNNNNNNNNNNNNNNNNNNNNNNNNNNNNNNNNNNNNNNNNNNNNNNNNNNNNNNNNNNNNNNNNNNNNNNNNNNNNNNNNNNNNNNNNNNNNNNNNNNNNNNNNNNNNNNNNNNNNNNNNNNNNNNNNNNNNNNNNNNNNNNNNNNNNNNNNNNNNNNNNNNNNNNNNNNNNNNNNNNNNNNNNNNNNNNNNNNNNNNNNNNNNNNNNNNNNNNNNNNNNNNNNNNNNNNNNNNNNNNNNNNNNNNNNNNNNNNNNNNNNNNNNNNNNNNNNNNNNNNNNNNNNNNNNNNNNNNNNNNNNNNNNNNNAAUAUUCCCCGACCAAUCGAAUAUUAUAUAACAACUUGCGUACUUUGCAAAAUUUAUAAAUAUUACCCACAACUAUAACAUUAUAUCAAAUUCACUCCAUAAUAUUCAAAAAUGAUAUUUAUAGAAAAUUCAUUUUUAUUCUUAAAAGUUGAGGUCUUACACUGUGUAAUAACUACUAUAACAAUUAUUGAAUGAAAUACAUAAUGACUUCUUACGUAAAAAUUAAUAAUAUGAAUAACUGUGCAAUACUGUGUGCUACUGUGCAAUACCGUGUACUAUUGUGAAAUCACGCGUUUUAUUGUAUUUUUAUCAUUGGGUAUUUCAACAGUUAUACAUAACUCAUUCUGAGUCGUCAAAUAUAUGGUCCAAAAUUCAAAUACAAACUUAAUUUACACAAUACAAAAAACGUAAGCUGAGAGUUUUAACACGAAUAUUGUCUCAUAGACAAUAUCCAAACUCAAAUAAAAUCCUCAUUAUAAUUAUUAUCACACUAUUUUAUAAAAUAGUGAGGAACACUAUAGCAACCAUCUUGGACCGUCACUCUAUUCUCCGACUAGUCUCAUCUAUAUUCUCAUUUUCUGAAGAGAAUAAUAAAAGAAAAGGGUGAGCUCAACUAGCCCAGUAAAGAAUAUUAUGACUAAGAUAAUGCAGAAUAAAUUAUCCUUAGCCUUCAACAGUGUAAAACUGAUAGAAUACAAUAGACAACAAGUUUAACUGCAGCGGAACAAGCAAUCCAUUAGAAGAGUCAAGUAGAACAUGAUGUCUACUAUCUUCUAUGAUUUAAAAUUUCAUCAUCAAUAUUGUAUCGCUGUAACACAGUUCAACAAAUAAUCCACAUCAUCGAAUUAUCCAUGCAUUACGGGCUAAGGAUAUUCGUUAGUAUUACAUCCACGAAUUAUCCAUGCACUACCGGCCCAGGAUAUUCGUUAUUAUCACCAGUGGUCAUGAUUAUUUCAAACAACUGUCCAUUAAUGCACUACGGACCAAUGAUGACUUUUACCACAUCAUUUGUAACAUUACAGGUCAUGAUUAUACCAAUACAUAAUUCUUGGUUAUAAUCAUACCAAUCAACAGUCCAUCUAUUCACUACGGGCCAAAGAUGACUUUCAUUACAAUAUAAGCAUGAGGAUGAUGACGACAAUGAUAUAAGAAUUCAAUUAAGUGAGAUCAAUGAUAAAUUUUAAAGAUUUAUAAUUCAAUUUAUUCAGAGUUUAAAAAUGUCCAAAUUGUCAACAUGAUAACUGCUUUGUAGAGUAAAAUUCAAGAAUAAUAUUCAUGUAUCAAAAAUAAUUUAGACAGAAAAGAAAUUAAUUUUUAUCGUGAAUAAUACCUCAGGUGAAUAGUACCCGAGUGAAUAGUACUUCGUGAAUAGUACCCCGUGAAUAAUACCGUAUGUAUGAAUAGUACCGUAUAUAUGAUUAGUACUGUAUGUAUGAAUAGUACCCAUGAAUAGUACUCCAGCAUGAAAAGAUUAAAAUUUAACAAGAAUGUCCAAAAAAAUAUUUCAGUGAAACGAUACUAGAUGAAAGACAAAAUUCAAGGAUAUUCUACUAAUUUCAAGGUGUAUAGAAGCAAUACUUAUCAAAAUAAGUGUAUAUUUAGGAAUAUGAAACAAAAUAAUAUUACUUACAUACUACUACAGAGUAUGAAAGAAAAUAUUAUUUCUUACGAAUAUUGAACAAAAUAAUAUCCAUUACCUUAAAAGGAGAGUACUUCUAACUGGUAUAGCAGGAAUAUUCCUGAAGAAAACUUGUAUUGUUUUCUACACUCAAAAUUUCCUUAAACUCUAAAGAAAUAUGCUCAAUAUUAUAGAAGAAGUAUUCUCUUAUUCUCAUAUGAUUUUUAUUUCUAAACUGAGCAUCCUAUUUAUAGGAGAAUGGCAUGGUACUAUUUAAGAAAAAUAAUCACGGACUGCACAAUAAACAUUCACGGGCGCACCGACUAAUUUUUCUGAUUUUACUGUGCAGCACUAUACAAACACUAUGCAGACACUAUAAAAAUACUAUGCAGUACUAUGCAAUAAUAAAAUAUAAUAUAUUAUAUUUAUAAAAAGUAUUAUGUUUUAUAUAAAAAGUUUUCUAUUUUAUUACUAUUAUAAUAAUAAUAAAACAAAAACUGAGAUAACUUUCUAUCGACGAUUUUGAAAAAUGAGUAAGUAGGGGUCCAUGUAAUAAGAAAAACUUACAACAAAUAGUUCAUAAAAACUCCCUCUAUUUAUCACAAAUCACUUGACUUCUCUAAACACAUUUUUAAUAUCAUUUAUUCAUCAUUAAUAUUAUAACUCGCAAUAUUAACAACCAGAUCAUUCCCAGGAAAAAGGGGCCUUUCCGAUAAAGACUUCUCCUUAUUGGCGCGUAAUUAGAUGACAAAUUCCUUUUCUUGACAGAACUUUCUAGACAUUGUUAAUAAUACAAAAAAUAAUAUGAAUAACUGUGUCGUCUCAAUUAUUGAUUUAAUAAUAUAAAAUAUUAUGCAGAUGAUACUGUGACAAUAAUUGAAUCAAUAAUAUGAGAUACUAUGCAUCAACUAUUGUUGCAAUAAUUGAAUAAAACUGAGUAUCUUCUCACGUAAGUAUCAAUAAUCAAAGAUACUAUACAAUACCGUGUGCUACUGUGCAACCACGCGUAUUAAUAUACUUUUAUCAUCGGGUAUUUCAACAGUUAACGGUAAAAGUUUUGUCGUUAUUUUUAUAAAAAAGGUUAUUUCUGUUGAUUUUUACAUCCGAAAGAAAUUCCAUUGUGGGGUCCACCAAUGAUUGUGCUGUCGUACGAAUAUUCCUUGAUAAAACGAAUAUUCCCCGACCAAACGAAUAUUUUAUAACAACUUGCUUACUUUGUAAAAUUUGUAAAUAUUACCCACAAAUAUAACAUUAAAUCAAAUCCACAGCUUAUUAUUCAAAAUGAUAUUUAGAAAAAAUUAAAUCUUUAUUCAUAAAAGUUGGGGUCUUACAAUAGGAAUAAUAUGUGGCAUGUCAAUUAACCCUUGUUUUGUGGCAGUGUUUGAAAAUGACAUCUGAAAAUUUUGAGAUAAGCAAUGGAGCAUAUGAUAACUUUGAGAUACCGUCAAUCAAUAACGAGGAUAAUGUGCAUCAGGAAGGCAAUAAUCCUCAUGUAAACAACACCGACCAAAUGAUGAACGAUGGAAUAUUUAGGAGCUUUCUGCAAUUCAUGCAACACCAAACGAGAGAGAUUCUUGUUUAAAAUUCAGGUGGAAUCAAUGGAAACUCACGGCUGAUCACUAUUAAGCAAUUCAAGGAGCUGGGACCACCGGAACGUUUGGGAAAGUCCGAGCCACUUAAGGCAAAGACGUGGAUUAAGCAGAUCACCAAGAUAUUUGAUGUCUUGGGAUGCUCAAAGGAGCAAAAGAUUCCCUUUGCCAUCUUUAUGUUGCGAGGAGAGGCAGAUUACUGGUGGGAAUCUAUAAAACGUACUCAUCUUUCCGCACUGAAGAUGUCUUGGGAGAAAACAAUAUGACCGUAUCGCAAUACGAGGCUAAGUUUGCGGAUUUAUCCCGGUUUGUAUCCCAUUUGGUUGAUAAUGAGGAGCGAACAACACGAAUUUUUCUGAGAGGUUUGAAACCCAAAAUUCGUCAAUACCUCAUUUCUCACAAACUGUGUUUGUAUUCAGAUGUUGUGAAUAGGGCUCAGUUAUUGGAGGGCGAUAAUGAGUCAAUCCAACCAAAAGAUAGCAGUCGACAAAACGAUAAUGGUCAUACCAGUGGAAACAGUCAUCGAAGCGAUGAUAACAAACGUGGAGGAAAUUAUCAUGCCAGAAAUGGUAACCACUUCGGUGGUAAUCCUGGCCAAGAUAAUAGAAGAAAUGAGUCAAGUGGAAAUUUCAAAAAGAGAAGGUUCAAUAAUGAUGGAAAGACAGCAGCACCAACACCCAUUUUUAAGGAAGGAGAACGACCACCGGUCGUAUACUACAGAUGCGGAGAGGAGGGACACAUCAGUCCAAACUGUAUACAACAACCCAAAGCGUGUUUCAAUUACAGAAAAGAAGGUCACUACCUAGAUCAAUUUUAUUGUACAACGAAGUCAAGUCCAGCUGGGAUGGUGACACCAAAGGCUGUCCCAGAUAAGUCAAAGCCGGUAAUUCAAGGGAGAGCGUUUGUCGUGACCUCCCAAAAAGUGCGGAACCCGAACGAAGUUAUCACGGGUAAGCUAAUCAUAAAUUCUUACAAAGUCAAUACCUUAUUAGAUACCGGUUCUACCCAUUCUUUUAUUUCACCCGCUUGUGCUCAACGUUUAAAUUUGACUCUAGAGAAAUUAGACUUUGACUUAUCUGUUGAGACUCCGUUGGGAGAAACCUUCAUUACAUCCACUAUUUAUAAAUCAUUUUUUUGAUUUAAAUCAACACUUUCACAUUACCUGUUGAUCUCAUCUCUUUAAAAAUACUUGCAUUUGAUGCGAUUUUAGGGAUUGAUUGGUUAACUACUCAUCAUACUAGAAUUAAUUAUUUUCGUAAGGUUGGUAGCAUUCAUAUUCCUAACCAACCUAUUAUGCGAAUUCAACCAACCAAAUCACUAAAUUCAAUCACUGUCAUAUCAAGCCAUAAAACCAUUCAUUUAUUAAAAAACGGAUGUCAAGCUUUCCUAGCCCAUGUCACGGAUUUAAACAAAAAUACAUCAGAUUUGAAUGAUAUUUCUAUUGUUAAUAAAUUUCCUAACGUAUUCCCCGAAGAACUUCCUGGCCUACCCCUAGAGCGUCGGUACAAAAACCAUUUUAAAAACCCCAUAUCAAAUGGCUCCUAUUGAACUUCAGGAGUUAAAAACCCAACUACAGGAAUUGAUAGACAUCGGUUUCAUUCAUCCUAGUACAUUUUCUUGGGGUGCUCCUAUUUUAUUCGUAAAGAAGAAAUAUGGGAGUAUGCGACUUUGCAUUGACUAUCGGGAGUUGAAUCAUGUCACCAUAAAAAAUAGGUACCCAUUACCUCGCAUUGAUGACCUGUUUGACAAGUUCCAAGGUGCUAAAUUCUUUUCAAAGAUCGAUCUUCGUUCCGGAUAUCAUCAGUUAAAGAUUAAAACUGAUGACAUUCUAAAGACUGCUUUCAGAACUCGAUACGAACAUUAUGAAUUCCUAAUCAUGUCUUUAUUGCUGCCUUGAUGGAUAUGAUGAACCGACUAUUCAAGGAAUAUUUGGAUCAUUUUGUGGUUGUCUUUAUUGAUGACAUCCUUAUAUAUUCCAAAAUCCGUGAAGAUCAUGAGCAACACUUGAGCCUGAUACUCUAAAAGCUUCGUGAAAAUAAGCUAUACGCCAAGUUAAAGAAAUGCGAGUUCUGGCUUUAGGAAGUAGCAUUUCUUGGGCACAUGAUAUCAAAUCAUGGAAUAUCAGUUGAUCCGGCUUAGAUUGAAGCAAGAAAAAGUUGGGAGCAACCGAAGUACGUAGCUUUCUGGGCUUAGCUGGUUAUUAUCAGAGAUUCGUGGAAGGAUUUUCUCGAAUUGACACUCCAUUAACUCAGCUGACACGAAAAAUACAAAAUUCGGAUGGAGCGAGGAAUGUGAGACGAGUUCCAAGAACUCAAGAGGAGACUCAUUUCAGCACCUGUUCUAACAAUACCAUCUGGUUCGGAGGGAUUUGUCAUCUAUAGCGAUGCUUCAGGCAAAGGUUUAGGAUGUGUUCUCAUGCAAUAUGGGAAAGUCAUAGCCUAUGCCUCACGACAACUCAAAGAAUAUAAGAAGAAUUAUCCUACUCAUGAUCUAAAGUUGGCAGCAGUCAUUUUUACUAUUAAGAUCUGGAGACAUUACCUGUAUGGGGAGAAAGUGGAUAUCUAUACAGAUCAUAAAAGCCUCAAAUAUUUCUUCACCCAAAAGGAACUCAACAUGCGGAAACAACGUUGGCUUGAGCUGUUGAAAUAUUACGAUCAUACCAUUCAAUACCAUUCUAGAAAAACGAACGCCGUAGCUGACGCGUUGAGUAGAAGAUCAUAUACGGGUUCGAGUGCGAUAUUGUCAACACAAAGGCCCAUUUUGUAUGACUUACAAAGGAUAGAGAUAGAGUUAAAGACUUCAGGGACCCAUGUGAUGAUGUUAAAUAUACGAGUAGAACCGAAUUUAAUCGAUAAAGUUAAAGCUGCUCCAGCUACAUACCCGGAGCUGAUGCGUAUGAAGAAAAAAGUGCAAGAAGGUGCUAUUCCAGAAGCAAGAAUCGACGAAGAAGGUUAAUACUUCGAGUAAAUUCCAGACUUUGUAUUCCUAACAACUCUAAUUUGAAGUAUAAAAUCAAGAUAGAGGCAUACAACACACCGUUUGCAAUCCAUCCUGGGAGUACCAAAAUGUAUCUUGAUCUUCGACAUACGUUUUGGCAGAUCAAUAUGAAGAGAGAGAUAACGAAGUUUAUCUCAAGGUGUUUAUCUUGUCAAAGUGUCAAGGCGGAGCAUCAAGUACCAAAAGGUCCAUUGCAACCACUUGAAAUUCUAGAAUGGAAGUGGGAGCACAUUAACAUGGAUUUCGUUGCUGGUUUUCCUAAGGUUUCUCAAGGCAUAGAUGUAAUUUGGGUCAUUAUCGAUAGAUUAACCAAGUCUGUUCAUUUUUUACCUAUACGAGAAAUAUAUUGUGAAGCCCCCAAAAUAGGUAUACAUCACUCAUCUUGAGUUGCCAAAUACAUGGUACUGAAUACAAAUACAAGCUUAAUUAUACAACAUGAGCUGUGAGUUUUAAUACAAAUAUUGUCUUCUAGACAAUAUUCAAACUCAAAAUAAGUCCUCAUUUAUUAUCACACUAUUUCACAGAAUAGUGAGGACUACUAAUGCAAACAUCUGGACUGUGACGCCCCCAAAAUAGGUCCACACGACCCAUUUUAAGUCGCCAGAUAUCACUCUAUAAAAAUUAAAUACAAACUUCAUUUAUACAACUAUUGAAUUGUCGUAUAGAGUACGACAACAGAUAAGCUGUGAGUUUUAAUACAAUAUUGUCCCGUAGACAGUAUCCAAACUCAAAUUAUUACAAUGCUAUAUAAAAUACAGCAACAAAUAUUUUAAGACCCCAAAGAAGAACGAGAAGAUUACUAUCAUAAUCAUUCUAAUGAGGCGCACUUUUGACGCUUUCAAAGUUGGGUUCUCAUCACCCUAUUAUUGUUCGCCAAAAUCAAUUAUUAAGUUACGUAUAAAAUACGACACACACAUCUUAGGUCCUCAAUACAAUUAUCUGUUGUCAUGCCAUUUUAUAAUAUAUUGAGAAACUUCGACAGUCUCGGACCAUCACACUAUUUCCCUGUUAUCCCCGCUCGACCCAGCUACACUCUUAUUACCAGAAAGGAAUUGUGAAGCAAAGGGUGAGCACAAAUAGCCCCGUAAAGAAUAUCAUGACUAAAGAUAAUUAAAUUAUCAACAGUCUUCGUCAAUAAUAAAUCAGAGAUUUAGAACAUAUGGUAGAUGAUAAAAUUUUUCAACCAUAAUAGCAGCGGAAUCAAUAAUCCAUUAGAAGAGUCAAGUAGAACAUAAUGUCUACUAUAUCCUCUAGAUUAAAAGUCCAUCGUUAAUAUUUCAUUCCUGUAAUACUCAUCAACAGUUCUUUGUUAUACCCAAGACAAAGAGAACUCUCAUCACCUGUCUUCACCUGAACCACCACAGAUUAUAAUUAAAUCACAAUUCUAUUUAUAAUCAAGUAAAUCAACAGUCCAACUUUGCACUACAUGCCAAAGAUAUACAACUAUAAAACCAAUAACCAACAGUUCAUCUUUGCACUACAGUCCAAAGACAUACAACUGUAAAACCAAUAACCAACAGUUCAUCUUUACACUACAGGCCAAAGAUAUACAACUGUAAAACCAAUAAUCAACAGUUCAUCUUUGCACUACCGGACAAUGAGGACUUUCGCCACAUCAUUCGUUAUAUUACGGUCAUGAUUAUACCGAAUAAUCCCUGGUCAUUAAUCAUACCAAGUCCAUCUAUGCACGUAAGCCAAAGAUGACUUUCAUCACAAUAUAAGCAUGAGGAUGAUGACAAUGAUAUAAGCAUUAAUCAAAUGAAAACAAGGAUAAAUAUUAAAGAUUUUAAAUUUAUCCAAAUAUUAUAAAUCGCUUAAUAAACUCAUAAUCUAAUAUUAUUAAUAUUAUAAUAAUAUUUUAAUCACUUCUUAAACUGAUAAACAAUUUAUUUCAAUUGUUUACACUUUACCAAAUAAUGCAUUUAAUCAUUCAAAAAUGUCAUACUCAUAAGAUUUCAUCACCAAUGAUCAAAUCCCUCAUCAAAAAUCUGCAUAUACCUUAUAUAGGAUUUUCAAUCCCUAAAAUCCUAUUUACCAAUUCUUCAACUUCACAUAACAUAUUUAACUCAUAUGUUUGUAACUAAACCAUUUUCAUGAAAAAUUACCAAAUCAACUUAUUAUUUUUCUAUCCUUUGUCCAAACAUAUAUACAUAUAUUUCAUACACAACAAGUAUUUUUUUAUAAUUUUUCAACUCCCUUAAGUAUUUUUCAAAAAUCAAUUUCUAAUUAAUUCCUUAAGAAAUUAGCUACCUCAAGUUUAACUCCAGAAAUUCCCAAAUCUUGGCAGGAUCUUACACAUGUUAACGUGAGCUUCCAGUUUAAAUUUCAUGGUCAUCGGAGUUAUAGAACUCCGGUUAUAGCGUUUUUCGUUGGAAAAACAUAAAUAUUGAAAUAGUCAUAACUUGCUCAUUUUAAGUCGGAAUGAACUCAUUUUUGGACAGGAGGUACUUUAUACCAUAUAUUUUGAUAUCCCAAAAGGCCGAAAUUUAUUUCACAAACUAAGUGGUCGAAAAUGCCCUUUUAAAUUUUUGGGCAGUAACUUUUUGGUACUUUGCAGUUUUUGACUCCUUUGCUAAAAUCAGUCCACACGAAAAUCUACAACACCUUUUUCAGUGAUUCCACUUGGAUAAGUUAGAAAACUCAUAGAUCUAACUCUAGAACUUAACGACACUCAAAAAUUCGAAAUAUAAUAGGAGAUAUGGUCAAUUGAAUUUCAUGUUCCAUUUUUACCAAAAUCUGAUUUUCAACCCUUCGUGAUUUCUAAGAAACUUUCAUGUUUUCACAUAAUAACCAACAUAACUCAUCAUAACACUUACUAAUACUACAUAUACCCAUGAUUUUCAUCAGUCCAAUGCUUUUAUUAUGACUUUCAUCAUAAUCAACAGUCCAAUUCUUAUAUUAUGACUUUCAUCAUAAUUCACGUAAAUAGAUCAUUUCUAUAAUUUAACAAGGAAUGAAUACAAAGGAUCAUUCACCAUGCAUGUGGUAAUCGACACAGACAGGUUAUUCCAACAGAAUAAUAAAGAAUGGAAUAACAGAAGAAUUCACCAUGCAUGCGAUAGAUCGCAUAGACAGGUUAUUCCCAACAGAAUAAUAAAGAAUGGAACCAGGUCUUGCGUAAUCCGCACAGACAGGAUAUUCCAACAGAAUAAUAAAGAAUGGAAUAACAACAGAAUUCACCAUGCAUGCGAUAGACCGCACAGACAGGUUAUUCCAACAGAAUAAUAAAUAAUGGAACUAAGUCAUGCGUAAACGCACAGACAGGAUAUUCGGAUAGAAUAAUAAAUAAUGGAAUAACAACAGAAUUCACCAUGCACGCGAUAGACCGCACAGACAGGUUAUUCCAACAAAAUAAUAAAUAAUGGAACCAGGUCAUGCGUAAACGCACAGACAAGAUAUUCAGACAGAAUAAUAAAUAAUGGAACCAGGUCAUGCGUAAUACGCACUGACAGGAUAUUCCAACAAAAUAAUAAAGAAUGGAAUAACAGAAGAAUUUCACCAUGUAUGCGGUACUUCGCAUAGACAGGCUAUUCCAACAUAAUAAUAAAGAAUGGAAUAAUAGAAGAAUUUCACCAUAUAUGCAGUACUUCGCAUAGACAGGUUAUUCCAACAUAAUAAUAAAGAAUGGAAUAACAGAAGCUCUCUUCAUGAAUACGAAAGAAAUAAUACCCCUUACAAUAAUAAUAAUAAUAUCCCUUACCUUAGAAGAAACUGGAUAUUGAAAAAGGGAGGUAGCAGACUUCUCUUCUUCUUUCUUUCUAUAAUUUCUCUCUCUAGAGUUUCAGUGAAUUCGUAAGAAAUAAUAAAGGAAUGAGCUUCUAUUUAUAGGAGAAUGGACUGAAUAGUAACUAAUUCAUGAACGGUCCAGAUUGAUUUACUUUUAAACGGACGGUCCAUAUUGAUUUACUAUUAAAACUUAAAGCAACGGUCCAUACUGAUUCACUAUUAAAACUUUAAACCAGCGAUCCAUAUUGAUUUACUAUUAAAACUUUAAACCAACAAUCCAUAUUGAUUUAUUAUUAUAAUUUCAACCAACGGUCUGAAAAAUUAGCACAUCUCCUUAUGGAAUAAUAUUGUACCCAAAAUUGAUUUGGAUCGAAAAGAAUAUAUUUUUUGGGUGAAUAGUACCUCGUGAAUAGUACUUCAAGAAUAAUACCCAUGAAUAGUAUCCCAUGAAUAGUACCCCGACACGAAAAGUAUCCUAAAUACCCGAGUGAACAAUAUUAGAGUGAAUAGUAACCGGGUGAAUAGUGACCCGUGAAUUGUAACUCGUGAAUAGUACUCUAACACAAAAAAUUUCCCAAAUACCCGAGUGAAUAAUGCUAGAGUGAAUAGUAAUCGGGUGAAUAGUAACUCGUGAAUAGUAUUCUGACACAAAAAGUGCCCCGAAUACCCGAUUGAACAAUAUAACCUCCAGACAUCAAUUAUUAUCGAAAUAAAUAUCGAUUUCUACUAAAACUAAUAAUUCCCACACAAUGGAACUAUCAAUUUCAUCUUUAAUCAACACGAACUUAUUCAUCAUUAAUAUUAUAAUUCACAAUAUUUAACAACCAGGUCGUUCCCAGGAAAGAGGGGGCUUUCCGAUAAGGAUUUCUCCCUAUUGGCGCGCAAUUAGGUGACCAAACCUCUCCUUGACAGAACUUCUAGACAUUGUAAAUAUUGCAAUUUAAUAAUAUGAAUAACUUUUUCGUCUAAAUUAUUGAUUUAAUAAUAUAACAUAUUAUACAGAUGAUACUGUGACAAUAAUCGAAUUAAUAAUAUGAGAGAUAUAAUGCAGCAAUUACUGUAACAAUAAUUGAGUAUAACUGAGUGACUUCUCACAUAAGCAUCAAUAAUCAAUACCGUGUGCUACUAUGCAACCACGCGUAUUUUACCACUGAUUAUUUUAUAACAACUUGCUUACUUUGCAAAAUUUUCACAUAUCACCCUUAACUUUAACUUUUUAUCAAUUUAACCAUUUACUAAAUAGAAUACUUAUAAGAAAAUUGAAUAAUUUCAUUUCAUAAAAUUCGGGGUCUCACAUGGACCGUCACUCCGUUCCCUGACUAGUCCCGACUACGUUCUCAUUUCCUGAAGAGAACAAUGAAAGCAAAAGUGUGAGCUCAACUAGCCCAGUAAGAAAUAUUAUGACCAAGAUUGUAAUUCCCGAAAAAAAAAAUUUAAAUCAAUAUUUUAAAUAUUAAUUUGGGCCUUUAAACUAAUUAGGUCAAACUAAUUUCUAAGUAUUUAAAUUUGGGUAUGUCAAACUUAUUGAGUCCAAUUUAAAGUGUUGGAUUUAGAAACCUAAUUGGAGUAGGAGUAACAUUAAUAUAUUAGGUUAAGUCCAUUCCCAAUACAUGUAUUGAUACUAAUCGACUAAACAACAGGAGAAGAUUUUGGCGUAGCGAGAAAAGAAAGAGGCGGAAGAGAGGGUUGUGAAACAAAAGGAAAAUUUGGAUAAGAAGAUUAUGAGGCUAUAUUCAACAUAAUUAUAUCUUCAAAAGUUAAUUAUUAAAUUUAUUUUAUUGUCAAGAGGAAUAAUUGUUAUGGUGGAUUUUGGGUGUAAUCAGUGUAUAUUUAUGGUUUAGUGUCGUUAGUAACAACACUGUAUUUGUGAAUGGAUUUAUUGAUCUUGAGGGAAGCCAAUUCUCUGAAAAAAAACAAAAAAAAACUAAUGUACCGUCGUCAAUAAGCAGUACUCGGCUAUUUAAAGAAUCAAUCAUAACUAUUUGUGAAGAACCCUCAUGUAUAUAUACAUAUACAUAUUUACAUAUAUANNNNNNNNNNNNNNNNNNNNNNNNNNNNNNNNNNNNNNNNNNNNNNNNNNNNNNNNNNNNNNNNNNNNNNNNNNNNNNNNNNNNNNNNNNNNNNNNNNNNGAUGAGGAUUGAGAAAAUUAUGAUAAAUAAUUUUCUUUUCCUACAAUUAAUAAAUUUUAUCAUAUCAAGUCCUAACCACUGUAUCUUUCACAUUAGGUGGAAUCAAAAAGUGUCCCUUGGCCUAGUGUUUGUGCAGUUUCAACAGUUUUCAAAGUAGUGAAAGAAGUUCCAUGAGCAUAUCCCAGAAAAUUUGUCUUCAAACUAUUUCACUGCAGAGUACUUAAUGGUUAUUAUAUAAUAUAGUUUUUUUUAACCCAAGCUAUGAUUUUAUAUAUAUAUAUAUAUUCUAUCAUGGAAGUUAUAAUUGGUAAAUUCAUGAUUGAAUAAUGACUUUCUAUAAAAGCACAAGGAUUUUAAGAAUUAAUAAAAUUAUAUUUAUAUUUUUUAUAGCAUUAACUAUACUAAAUUAAAAUGAUAUUUUUGCAUUACAGAAUGUACAGUACGUGUUCUUAACUCUAGAGAUUAUAUGAACUAAUAUUAAAGCAGUUAAUUUAUAAAAAGAAAUAUAUAAAUUAUAAUUUAUUAAUUUAAUUAAUGGUCUUGUAUUGAUUUGAUAAUUAUAUAGAUCAGAUUGAGGAGGUCUAGCAGUGUGAUGUUUGGGUUCGGUGAAUUUUUUUGGUACUAUAUUAAGGUACGGAUUCCGUACUCUUUCAGCGAUACUCUUGUUAAAUUUGAUUUAUUCGUUUGUUUCCUUAUUUUGAAUUCUGUUAUGAUUUCACAUAAUUGUUUCUUGUGAAAUAAAUAUAUUAGUUUCAUUUUGGAGUUAAUACAUAUGACUCGUAUUUGUAUUCUUUGAAUUAGGAUAUCAUGUUUAGUAUUUAUUUUUGAUAAUUAUAGAGCGUUACAUGUUGUUACCUUCUUUUUGAGAUCUUGUGACUAUAAUUUGUUUUGGUUCAACAUGUACAUAGAGAACCUUUUUGUUGGUAUUAUGUUGAAUGUGUUGUAACAUGGUAUUUUUUGUUAGAAUAUACCGUAGGGUAUACCUAAGCUAUAACCACCUGUGGGGGUACCACAGGCAUGUCAUCUUGGCACGAGAUACAUGACACUUUCCGUGGCGGUGUGAUUAGUCCACGGCGUCUCCGUUUUGGUGUUUUGUUGUGGGAGGCGUAUGGGUUAACCCUAGUUUUUUUUGUUCUGCGGAUUUGUGAUGUCGUGCCAAACACACCUAUCCGAUUUGUAUACAUUUGAAUUCGCGGUCCAAUAUGUGAGUGCCUGUGUUGCAUUAUUUUGAUUGCCUGUGUGGCAUCAUUUCAUUUUCGUGUGUGGCAUUAGUUUGACUUGACUAUGUGGCAAGAUAUAUUUUUGAGCUCAAUCGGUUUUAAAUAACCCCGACCAUUUGUAUCAGCCUAUUAUUUUAUCGUGUUAGUUUUAUUGGCUUUUGUUCAGUUCAAUUAAUUGGGUUAGUUAUUUCAGUUCAUUAUUUUCUUUACUCUUCUGUUUGUUUCGUUAAUUCUGUUGGUUCAGAUAUAUUCUAUUCAAAUCUUUAGAGAUUUUAUUUUUUUGUCAGAGAAAAUAUUUUGUCUCUGUUGAUUUCGUAUUUUAGUUGUAUAUCUUUUGUAUCUUUAUAUUUGUACUGGGCAUUUUGCUCAUGUUGUGUUUUUCUUCCGGCAGGUUUGCAGGGGUGAUUUAGGGCUAGUGUUAUGAGAGUGUUGCCUUUGACCAUCUAGGUUGAUUUGAAUUUUAAGUUUUGAUUAUUUUGACUCUGUUCGGAGAAUUGUAUUUAGUACUUUAUUAAGGGAUCACCACUAUUAAUAUUUUGAGGUUGUUAGUGCUCUGUUUAUUUAUUUUGAGGUUUGUUGUGCUUUCCACGUGACCUCCCUUUCCUUUUCGGGAAGGGGGUGUUACAGAGAUGGUAUCAGAGCUUAGGUUCUUUCUUGUAGAAAACCUAUUUAGGUUUGACCUGUGAGUUGUGGGUAAACCAUUGGGUAGACGUAGGAGUUUGAGUCUAUUUUGUUCUCUGUUUGGUUGGUCUUGAUUUUGACUAAGUGUUAUUAGCUCUUUGAGUUGUAGUUGAUUUGAGAAAGGCGAGAUAAUUUGUUAAGAUUAUUAUUGUUAUGUGUUGGAGCAAUAAUAUUAGUUAAGGAUUGUGAUUAGAUUAUUAAGGAGAAUAAUUUCAUAUUUUGUUCAGUUAAGAAAUGAUUAUACGAUUACGAUAUGAGUAUUUGUAUCAGCGAGUUUUGAUACUGGAGAAUUAUUUAUUAGAGUUAUUUCAGGUAAUUAAAAAUUAUUGUGAUUUUGGAAUUGAGGAUUUGAUUUGGGUUAGAUUAUGAUUUUUGUUAAGUUGUGAAUAAUUUUAGGUAUGUGAAUCAGUGGAAUAAUAUGAUAAAGUGAAACCUAUUAAGUACAGAGGCUCUCUUAUAAUUUUGAGUUGUUGUAAAGAUUCCAGGUAAUUAGAUUAAUCUUUUGGAGUAAAUGAAUUUUGCAGUUAUUUCCUAGAGGAAUGUUGGAGUUAUCUUAUAUGAAAUUUUGAGUGAUAGUAUGAGGAGAUCUUGGAAUUUGUUGGGUUAAGAUUUGCAUUAAGAGAAUGAUUGAUUCAUUGAAUGAUUAGAUAUAUAAUAAGUGAUGAAUCCAAUAUAUUUUAAGAGAUUUUGAAAGUUAUAGUUUGCUUAUGUAGAUAGUAGAAUAUGUGAUUUGGAGUUUGAUAUGGUGAUGAAGAGAUCUUCAUAUUAUAUUAUAUUAUUUGGUGUAAUAAUAUUUGAAAACUAAUUUGGAUUGAGGUUUGAAUAUUUUGAAGCUCCUAAGGAUUUAGGAAGAGUUGAUAAUUUGUAGAGUUAUUUUGUUUAUUCCAAUAUUAUUAAAGUUGUGCAUGAAUUUAUGUAAAAUAAAUAAAUAAAACAAAAUAAUUUUUAGAUCCUAGUCAUGUGCAGGACAUGAACUUUUUGAAGUUAUAGAUAAUUUUAAAUAUUUCAGGUAUUCAAAUCGUAUUUAGAUGAAGAGAAAAUUUUGUGGUUUCGAAUUAUGUUAUGAAGAGUAUGUAUGUUUACAAGAACAAAAUCAAGAAAAUUGACGAUGAACCGCACCAGCUGUGGAGCAUGUGGCUUAAUUCAAUGCAAAGCAAAGAAUCUUAACGGGGCUUGACACGUGAUGAAUUUUUUUUUGCAAGUAUAUGGAUAAUUUCGAGGACCGAUGGACAUACCAGGCUUGAUCGUUAAAAAGGACGAUGUUACAUCUUAACUAAAGUUUAUGAAUAAUUGUGUAAUUUAAAUAAAAAUAAAACUUUCUGUAACUUAUUUGAAUUCCGAGGACUAAAUUAUUUUUUGGAGGGUAGAAUGUAAUAACCUAAAAUUUUGUUAAUGAAUAAAUAUUAAUUAUUAUUUUUUCUAAAAUCAUUUAGAACGAGAAACAAUAUUGAAAAUGGAGGAGUUUAUUCGACCGAAAUAUCUGCAUCUUUUUGAAAAUUAGGUACAUUCUGUUUUUUUUAUUUCGAGGACGGAAUCAUUUUUAAAGGGUGAUGUGGUGUAAUACCCGAUUUUUUUUUUAAAAUCAAUAUUUUAAAUAUUAAUUUGAGCCUUUAAACUAAUUAGGUCGAACUAAUUUCUAAGUAUUUAAAUUUGAGUAUGUCAAACUUAUUGAGUCCAAUUUAAAGUGUUGUGUCAGGAAUAAGCAUGUGAAUGAUAUUCCUAUUUACAUAUGGUUUGAUUAUGAUAUAUAUAUAUAUAUAUAUAUAUAUAUAUAUAUAUAUGAAUGAAUAUGCAAGUAUGCUUGCAUUAAGAAAAGCUGUAAAGUCCUUUGAUAGAUAAUAGAAACAUAUGUGUAAGGACUUAGAAUGAAUUGAUCAAAUGUGUUAGGCUGAUCCUACAUAAGUAAAACAGCUUUGUAAAGUCCUUAAAAAGAAAUGAUGUACAAGGACUAUUAAUAUAGAAAGAUCAAGCAUGUUAGGUUGAUCUUAUGAUGUAAUAGAUAGGCUUGUCUGAUCGUCGAGCACUACACAAGUAAUUGUAGUCUGCCAGGAGAGUCAAGAAUAACUCGAGAGCUAUCGAGGCAGAAUCGUAGUCUGCAAGAUAGUAGAUCUCAGAGUUCGUAGACUGCCAGGAAAGACGAGGAAGGAUCGUAGUGUAUCGAGUAGCACUUCCUCGGAACCGUAGUCUACUGAGGAAGUCAUGUUCAUAAUCGUAGAGACAACCUGCCUAUGAGCCGACCGAGUAUCUUCCAAAGCCAAGUCAAGAAUCGUAGACUACCUCAGAGUUGUAGAGUCUACUAAUCAUACCAAAGGCAGAGAUCGUAGUCGAGCAAGAUCAGAUAAAGACAACAAGCACACCGACAGAAAUCGUAGUGUAAAAAUUUUAUCUCAGAGUCGUAGUGUCUGCACAGCCAAAGCUGAAUCGUAGAGUGCAGAACUAAGACCUCAAUAAAUGUGCUCACAAUGCCAAAGCAGAAUCGUAGAGCAAAUGCGAUUCUCAAAAAAUGAGCACUCCCUGAAUAUCCAAAGGAAUGAAGCCUCUGGUUGGUAAUGCAAAGAUACAUCUCACUUAAAGAAAGCCAGAGAGCACUCAACGAAUGGCAUGCAAGCUAAUAGAAGACCUAAGCACCAACCCAAUCAGCAUCAAGAUCGAGUUGUGAAGCCAUUCGAGAUGAAGUCUUCCACAAGAUGAUCAUAAGAAGACUUCAAUAGCUGACUAAGAAAAGUCAGCACAUGCAGUAGCUGUCAAGUAGAAAGACGACAACGUUCUUGGAAGCAACCAAGAUCGUAGUAUUUGCUAAAUGAAAAAGGAACUAAUGGAGUACACACUGAGAUACUGGUCAGCCUCUGAAUAACAAGGCUAAAGUGAUUAAGCAUUGGGUCAGUCCAUUGAUGAUAAGUGAACGGGAGAUCACAAGGAGAAAGCGAGCUGGACACGCCAUAAAUCUGAAGUGUCUUGUUAUUUAGAAAAGGACAGAACAAGGAAUCGAGCCAUCAGUAUCUGAGAGCAGUCGAGGCAAACAGAAGUAUCGAAGCACUGCACAAGAGAAGGAAGAGGUGUUCCACAUUGGAGAUCUAAUGAACAUUCUUCAAGAUCAUAGUGUUAAUUCUACACAUCAAAAAGCAAGUCAAACAAGACACUACAAUCAAGUCCAAGAAGGUAUGCAUCAGAAUCGUAAAGUUCGAACAACUGAAGAUUGAGGCAUUGGCAACGGCUCAAUCUGAAGAUUGAUAUUCGAAUAAAGCUUAUUGAGAGCAUCGAUGCAAAAGGACAACCUCUGAUUUAUAAAUCAGAAGUAAGAAAUAAAGUUGACUACCUGCCCAAGACAUGAAAGUGACAUUUCUGAUGGGGUAGGUUGUAAGACCCCAACUUAUUAUUAAUGAAAUUUAAUUUUCUCUAUUUAUUAUUUUGAAAUAGUAAGGGUUGAUUUGAUUAAUGUGGAUAAUUAUGGGUAAAAUACGCAAAUAUUUCAAAAUAAGCAAGUGGUUAUAAAAUAUUCAUUAUUGUCGGGGAAUAUUCGUUUGGUCGUGGAAUAUUCGUACUGUCGGGGAAUAUUCGUACGACGGCGCAGCCAUGUGUGGGCCCCAUAACGGAAAGCGAUUGGAGGAAGAAAACGACAAAUAUAAGUUGUUUAAAAAUAACGGCGUAGUUGUUACCGUUUACACUGUUGGAAUACCCGGUGGUUAAAACACAGUAAUACGCGUUGUUGCACAGUAGCACACGGUAUUGCACCAAUUAUUGAUUCUUACGUAAGAAGGCACUACUCAAUAAUGGUUACAGUAAUUACUGUUCAGUAUUUUAUUUUAUUGAUUCAAUAAUUGCUGCGUUGAUAUUUUAUAUUGCUGUUGUUUCAAUAAUUGUCAUUACACAGUAUUUUUCAUUAUCGAAGCAAUAAUUCAUAUUAUCUGAAUAAUAUUAUUAGAUAACAUUAUUGGCAAUGUCUAGAAAGUUCUGUCUAAGGAGAGGUUUGGUCACCUAAUUGCGCGCCAGUAAGGAGAAAUUCUUAUUGGAAAGCCCCCUCUUUCCUGGGAACUGCCUGGUUGUCAAUAUUGUGAUUCUGUAAUAUUAUUUGUGAAUAAUUAAUUAUUGAUUCAUAUGAUGAGGAAAAUAUUGAUUUUAUGUGGAUAUAGAUGGAGAAAAUUUUUAAUGUGACAAUUGUUGAAAAUUAAAAUUUUAUCUUUUUCUGAUAAAAUAAUUCAUUUAAAUAUAUUAUUAUAUUUUUAAUAAUAUAAUAAUGGUGAUAUUUUUACAAUGAAUGUGUGAUAUAUGAGUAUACGAGGAGAAAGAGUAUUUUUGUUGCAAUAAAUGUUUAAAACAUGUUAAACAUGUCGGUGGACCCCAUUUCUUGACUGAAAUUUGAUUAUAGCUUGUAAAAUCAUCCGUUUAUAGAUUUAGGUCAAUUUCUGUUUGGAAUUUGGAAAAACUUUCUUCUGCAAAGUUGUAGAGAAUUGAAUUUCCUAUAAAAAUAAGCGAGAUUUGAAUUUUAUGACAAAAGGGCUAUUUAUUGUGAAUUAUUGAAGUUCCGAAGCUCCGAAAUAAUUGAUUUUUGGAAGUUUAAAUUAUUUUAAAUUAGGAAAACGUUUUUGGAAUGUUUGGGGACAUCAGUAACAUGUGCUUGGUGGCUGAAAUCAGAUGGUCAAGAGGUGCAUAGGAAAUUUUGAUAUAUAUAUAUAUAUAUAUAUUAAUAUUAUAUUAAAUUUUCUACUUUGGUGUUCUAAGCAUUUUCCUAUAAAUAGGGUGCUUAGGUUAAAAUUGAAAAUAACACCAGAAACUGAAGUUUUCUCUCUCUAUAUUAUCGAGCGCAUUCUUGUGAGUAUUUUGAAUAUAUUUUGAGUAUUGCUAUACGGUGCAAGUUCAAGUCAUAGCCUAUAUCUGGUGUUUCAGCUAGAAGUACUGAUCUUUCGAGGUAAGGGAUUUUAUUUUUUUCGCAAUGAUAUUAUUUCUUCAAUAUCAUUAUGCUGAAAUAUUGAUCUGAAGUUUUUAUCAAAUUUGGACUUUUAGUGUUGGGGUUACUAUUCACGUAUACGGCACUAUUCACGUAUACGGUACUAUUCACGAAUACGGCACUAUUCAUCAAAAAAUAAAAAUUUUUCUUUUCGUCCAAAAUAUCUAUUCUGGAUACUAGCUUUGAUUGUAUCCAUGUUUUGAUCAUUCUUGAAUUUUACACCACUAUGAUUAUUUUUGAGGUAUUUUUGGACAUGGAUAAAACAAAGUACGAAUCCUUAAUCCUUAAUCCUUGUCAUUUUGUUUCACUGGAUUCGUUUCUUUAAAAAUAUUUUUCAUCAUCCUCAGUCUUAAAUGAUGAUAUUAUUGAAUAUCUUUGGCCUGUAGUGCAAAGAUGAAUGAUUUCUGAUGAAUAUCUUUGGCCCGUAGUGCAAAGAUGAACAGGUGUUUAGAUGAACAUGACCAACUGAUGAAUAUCUUUGGCCUGUAGUGCAAAGAUGAAUAUUUGAUUCCAGAUAUAUAUUGAUUGAUGUUACAGGGAUAAAAGAUAGACGAUGAACUUUUAAAUUCAUACAUAGAAGAUAGUAGUUUGCAUUCUCUACUUAACUCUUCUAAUGAAUUAUUAUUUCCGCUGCGAAUAUUGAUUUAAAACUUGUUGUCUAUUGUAUUCUAUUAGAUUUUUCCCUGUUGAAGACUAACGAUAAUUUGUUGUAUAUUAUCUUAGUCAUAAUAUUCUUUACUGGGCUAGUUGAGCUCACCCUUUUCCUUUUUGUUCCAUUUUUCUUCUCAGGAGGCGAGAAUAUAGCGAGUACGAGUCGGGGUAUGGAAUGAAGGUUCUAGAGAGAGUUGUUUAGUAGUCCUCACCAUUUUUGUAAAAUAAUGUAUCAAUAAAUGUGAUGAGGAUUUAUUUGAGUAUAGAUAUUGUCUAGAAGAUAAUAUUUGUAUUCAAACUCACAGUUUUACUUUUGUAAUAAUAAAGUUGUAGUUGUUUCUGUACCAUGUAUUGACAACUCAGAAUGGGUGAUGUAUACCUAUUUUGGGGGCGUCACAUAGGUGAAACAGUAGACUGCAGUGUCAGAAAGUCAGAAAAAGAUGUCAUGUCACAUCUGCAGUCUGCACCAAAUAGCUCGAGAUCUGUGAAGUCAUUUGAAUAGCUUUCAACGGCUACUUUCUAACGGGAAGAUUGGGAAGUAGUAUAAAUCAACAGAGCUUCAAAAAUAGAGCUGCUGGUGAUUGUGAAGUUGCAGAAUCGUUGAGUUGGUAAAUGCUAUAGUUGACUCUACGAGUUCCACCAAAGAUCAACAGAACAAGUCUCAGUGACAAUGAGACUACCAAGGUGGAAGUGAAACAGCUUUGAAGAAGAACUCAAUCAGAUCAGAUCAAAGCUUCACUCAAGAAAGAUGAGAAUGCCACUGAAAAUGGCAGCCAAGCUGAGAGCCGAGAAGGCCAAGAAGAUAGCAUUCAGGAAAGUGGCUGAGUACAAAGAAGACCAAGAGAGCCACUCUACGAAUCAUCAUGAACCUAAAGCCGAAACUGAACAAGUGCAGAACCAUAUCUGCAAAACAUUCAAGAAGGUUUCAGGGAUUACUAAAUACCAGAAGAACUACCAAAAGCUCAGGUGCUUAGUAACUCCAUAUGGUGAUGGUGCACAGCUGACAUCAGACGAAGAUGAGCUGAAAAGAGAAGAGAUCAGCUGUACCAAGGAAGAUGUAGUCCAGACUCGAAGCUAAACGCAAAGAGGACCACACCAAGCUGCUAAGAAUAAAAGAUGCUCAGAGCUUAAAGACAUCUUAGCAGCUCAGCACCAACAACAUCAAUAAAUACAACAACAAGAAGCCACAGGGCCUGAGGGGUCCUUGUCCGAAGGGACUAAAUGAGUUUCCAAGCCUGCUGGGCUUGAAGAGUUCCUAAGGAACUAGAGAAGUUUCGAAGCUGCUGGCCUUGAAGAGUUCUUAGUGAACUGAAGUCCCAAGGCUGCUGGCCUUGAAGGAAUCUAAGUGAUUCAGGGUGCUGCCCUUCCUUAGUGGAAAUCCUGCUAGUUGAAAGUAGAAGAGUGGAUUAGGAGCUUGAGUCUCUAAACCACUUAAAACCCCUUGUGUCUUUUACUUUAUGUCAUUUACAUUAUGUACAUUAACUGCUAUAACUGCUAUAUAUGUUUUAACUGCUUACCAUUGAACUAACUCUACGAACAAUGUAUGUAUGAUUAUGUUUAUAUCAAUGAAGGGGAUCUUUUACUUAUUCCGCUGUGAUUGAAAAGAUUCUUAUGAUUGUCAUUUGCUAAAUUAUUAGCAAUACGAAAUAAAUCAGAAAAGUAUUUGAAAUUAAAAAGGAUCUAUUCAACCCCCCCUUCUAGAUCUAUUGUGCCUACUGGGAACUAACAAUUGGUAUCAAAGCAGGUUCUCAUGCUACAUUCAAAAGCUAAUCGCUUUGAGUUUGAUCCUAAGCACAAAAAUUAUUCUAAACUUAGUUUAGUAGUAAGUCACUUGUUAAUGCAGAUGAGCUCACACGUUGGAAAUAUUGUGUACAGGUAAAUGUGCAUAUACACCUAAAGCUGUUCAGGUUGGUCCAUGUCUUUGAUUAUCAUAUUAACAAGACCAAUCCUUGCUCGAUGUCAAUCUUGUUGACUGAAGAUCAGGCUAGAAAGCUCAAGAGAUGUCAACAGGAAAGAUUCAAACAUCCACCAGCCUGAAAAGAUAAAAAGGCCAUACAUGCUAAGUAAUGCUUAUCCAGAGAAGAAAGAAGAAGUUCUCAACCACAUGCUUGGUCAAACUGCAUCUGGAUGUAAAUCUUAUGAACUUAAGUAUGUCAAUGAAUUAGAGAUACUGACACUCUCUUAGCUCGUAUCUUCAAGACCACGACUGAUUGACUGAAGAUCAACUAGAGUAACUGGCUGUCAGAAGCAAAUGAGAAAACUUGCACAUCAAUGCCUAAACUCAGUAUAUCUAAGAUAAAUAACUGUUAAGAAAUCAAUAGCAAAAAGGUAAGGUUCCUCGCUAACGUAGAUAUGAACAUCAUAUUUGCAUCUUACUCAUGAACUAUAACAGUUUUCCUUCAAAUAUUCAUAAUCUAUCUAAAAAGGUGAAGAGAGAAAGUACACUAAUGAUAGAAACUCAAAUGUCUAUAAACUUUCUCUCCAUCCAAGUUUUUGGUUGAAGAUGAUAACUUGAAAGAGAUCUGAAAUAGUUUCAAGAGCCUCAUAGGUCGAUUGAAUGUGAAGAAAUCUUUGCUGAUGGGUUAAUGUGCUUUAUACAUCCUAUGGUCUAAGUGUUUAAUGACACACAUAGCAUGAUCAGAUCUACAAGAGAAUCUUAAAGAUUCGUAAAAACUGAUCACCUCCAUGAAUCAACCAGAUGCUAAUAAAUCAUAGAGUUGAUUCUCACUCUAUGAAUAGUUAAACUCUGUGAUCAUAACUAAGCAUAUGAUGAAACCAUCAAGGAAAAGAGUAUUUAAUUAAAAUGACAGAUUUCUCUCACGCUCACCACUAUACAUCUCAAAAUGUAUUAUCUAAAUGAAGUACAUACAUGGAUACGACUGAUGGUGGUCAAUGUGAUGUUCAUCCAAAUAUAUGAGGAACAGGGGUUUUAGUAACUAACCUAGCAGGACCCAUCUAACCAUGGGUACCAAAUAUUAGAAAUGAAUAACCUGUAGGUACUUGGUCUAUCUGACCACACUAAGGAAUGCUAAAGCAAAAGACUUCAGUCAAGAAGAGUCAACCAGCAGAAGGCUUAGGACUGUUCAGAAACAAUUCCGACAAAAUUCCUAUAUAUCAAAGCUUGUCCUUGAAGACCUGUUGAGCUAAUCUAAAUGAAGCUCAAAAGGCUGCAUAUCUUUAUAUGGAAGCAUGCCACUCAACAAAAGAAUAAAAGGGUCUUAUAUGCUCAAUCAUGCAAAGCAUGUCAUAAGAGAAGAAUCCUCAAGGAAGCUGACUACAGAGAAUCAUCGAGCAUCAAUCAUGAGGAACUCACUAUGGGAGCAGAACUCAGCAAGCACAAACUGACAAGGAAUACUACAUUCGUAGUGCUGUCAAAGGAUCGUAGAAUGAUCAAACUUGAAAAUGCCCAUUCCUAUGAUACAAAGAGAUUUAAUGACUUCAACUAGAAUGAGAUAUGCAUGGUUGCCUUCUGCUACACAUGAAGAAGAAGAACUUAGGUCUCUUUGAGAAGACAGUAUCAACUAUGGGGGAGUAGUAAUCUGCUAACAGUACAGAAGCUCAAAACCAUCAGAGAUAUACUAUGAAGCUGUGUACCAGCUACAGAGUCCCAAAACUUUGUGGCUGAUGAACCAAGUGAAGAUCCAUAGUCAGUAGGAACGUCUCAAAACGUACUACUGAUAACCUUUCAGCCACCCAACUCAAAAUCGUGGAGUACCUACGAUCAAACAUCUGAUUGUAGUGCAAGAGCAGGAGGACACCACAAUUAUAGCCAGUGCAGAUGUCUAAAGUUGGAAGAGGGACUCCCCAAUAGAAAAGGUCAAAUGGGAUAUCAGUGCAAAUCACUUCUAAAGUAUUUCAUCUGGAAAGCGCCUCAGGGACAAACCUAACCCUUAGCUCACUCUAAGAGGUUAGCCCUUCCUGAGCUACCUUGACCUAGAAGGAAUGCUUAGUAAAGCUCAUCUCAAGGACCAAGUCAGUCAACGAUUGUAGAAUAGAGUUUUAAGAGAACUCAACGAUCAUGAUGCAAUCUCAACGAUCGUAGUGAAAACUCAACAAUCGCAGAAGCAGACUCGACAAUCGCAGACUUAACAAAAAGGCACUCUAGCUCAUGAGGAACUUGGAAGAACGAGACAAUUGCUCUACCAUUCUGAAGUAUGAGGAGAUUAGUUCAAAUACAGUUUGGAAAGACAUCUUGCAAACGCACAUCAGAACUUAAGUACCCAAACUGGCUUAGGGUGCAUCAGUGGUUGAGCUAUGAAUUUCCAAUAUAAGGAGAAAUGUCAAAACCAUCCACUGCAACAUCUUUCAGAGAAUUGAUCGUUGAGUCAACAAAGGAAAACGUAGAGUCAAUAGCUGUCCUAUCAUACUACUCUACGAACUCAAGAGGUCAAAGGUCAAUCCACGUCAAUCAAACGUCUACUCUUCUAAAAGAGAGAACUAACUGACAAGUUACUGGGGAGUUACAGCUCGUUACUGGGCAUCGUGCAACCAAUAACUAGUUGACACAUCAUAGCGUAUGCAGUGUAAGAAGGAACUGCCAUAAAGACAAAUUCAAAAUCUUCAAACAGUUACCAAAAUCCAUUGAACCUCUCUCCCUCCCAUUUUCAAAUCCUAGAAUUCUCUUCGAAGCCAAACCACUAAAAUUUCCAGAGUUCAAAUCACAAUCAGCCAUACUUCAUAAAUCUCCCUGAAUCAAUAUCCAUAUUCCUCAAAUCAUUCAAAUGGAAGAUUGGCUAGUAAUCACUGGCAUUCAACUCGGAACCAAGUCAUUUGAGAAAUGCAAAAAGAAGUUCAGAGACAUUUUUGAACUCGUGAAGGACAUGAAAAAAAGAGUUUCCAAAGGAAUUCAAGUUCCUUGCUGAGAUAGUGGGAAAAUGUAUACUAUUCAAAGACACUGCACACGACACUGUACUCGACCAGCAGUUGAAGAUUAUGUCUGCCAUAGUUCUGAAGAAGCAGAUCAACUUUGGAGUUGUCCUGUUCGACCAAAUCUCCAAAUGGAUAGAAAAAGUCGAGUUAAAAGAAAUCUAUAGAUAAACCACUUACAAAAGUAUUUCAUGGAAGACUGCUGAGCAUUGUGAUGAAGAAGAAGCUGGGAAGCAAGAUCAAGGAUGAUGAGGGAGAACCUCUGAAUGUGCACAAAGUAAUGUCAACACAACUGUUUGUGAAUUGGAAGAAAAACCCAAAGGAAAAUAGGAGGCUAACAUAAACUAGAGUCAGUAGAAAAGUCUCUACAAAGAAGAGAAAAACAAAGGAAGUGGAAAACUUUGAGUCUGAUGACUCUGCAUUAGGUGUUGCAACACCGGCAAAGAAGAAGCCUAAGAAUGUGAAGAAUGCAGAGGCUUCAUCAAGACAUGUCUUCACUAACAAGAAGAAACAAGGAGCAGGAGGAGAACAAACAUCUACGGCUGAAAACCCAAAAAGAAGGAGUAACAGACUACUCCAAGAACCACCCAAGAAGAAAGCAAAAGUGAUGAAGAAAUCAGCCCCAGCUCCCCAGGAAAGUCCAUCCAACCAAGAGGAACAUGAAGAGUCUGAAGAUGAGAAAGGAACUGAAAGUUCAAAGAUUGAACCUUCAAGGAGCAAGUUCAACAAUGAAGAAGAAGUUGAAUCUAUAGAAGAAAGAACCAAGGUUGAUGAUGAAAAGAAAUGUGCAAGUCCAGUGCCCAACUCUCAGAGUACUCACUCUGAAGAUAGAGAGAAGCUGCAAAAUGACCCAUCGGAAUCUCCAAAUGCAAGUGCUCCAACAAGCCUUCAUGAUGGCUCAAAAGAUGAUGAAUUCGAAAAAGAAACACUUGCCCAUGUCAAUGAUGAAAAUCAAGAGAGUCUGUCUACUGACUCAAAGACCUCAGGAUCUAAAGAAGAAGAUGUAUCUGUUUCACCCAUAACUGAACCUCCAAGAAGAAGAAGGAGUCACAGAUUGAUAGCUCAAUUUGCCUCUGGAAGGAGAGAUGAUCAAUCUACUAAAAUUAUUGAACUAAGUAAUGAUGAAUCCGCAUCAGGGGAAGAGAAUGCUGAAGAUAAGACCAGCAUUGAAGGAGAUGAUUCCAAGGAAGCCAUUGCUGAAGGAGAUUCUAAAAAUGAAGUUUAGCAAGAAGAAUCUAUUGAUGAAUCUGAGGAAUUAGAAUAUUAUCCUGUUCUCUCUCCAGCCAGAAUUAACAGAAGAAUUGUAGUAGAAUUCUUUGAUGAGCCACCAGCAGAACCACCAACAAGAUGGAUAAAUCAAGGAAAUGAACAACUUCAAGUUGUAAGAAUGACCACAGAUGAAGUACUUCACAACUGGAAAAACAUGGAAUUAGACUGCACAACAAUACUGUAUGACUCUGAAGACCUUCUGAUGAGAUGGUUUUUCUCGUGGAUGUCAUGGUUGAAGGCACAUACUAAUGUUGAUGAGAGCUACUUCAGUUGGUGCUAUUCUCAGUUUCCAAAUCUAGAGUUGGUGUCACAAAACUUCCCAAGGGUAAAGAGUUUCGCUACAAUAAUGAUCAAAGACCAGUCUCACUAAAAAGUCUACAAACAUGCUGGUAACCAUUAUAUUCCCUACGAUCAUAGAAUGGGAUCUGACAGAAGAAGAAUCAUGAGCAAGGACAUAAUCGUAGAGUCUUUUCCCUCUAUUACUAAAAAUGAUCAAGAUCAGGUUGAAGAGCUUCCCUCUGCUCAUGCACAAAUGUCUAACAUGCCAUCAUCCUCCAACAACAAUUGGCACUCAAUGAUUUUUUAGAUUCUCAACACUUUUGAAAAUCUGUUCAAGGAUGAAAAUCGUAGAGUCCAAUCUAGUGUUCAACAAGAGAUUACCCAACCAGAUGACCAAAUUCCCACAGAGCAAGAACUACUAAAGAAUUCUGAUAAGUUGGUCAAGAAGAUGUCUAUCAUAACUGAAGAAGCAAAGGUGUUGACAGAAGCAAGAGAUAAUGCGGUUCAAAGCAGACUCCACGCCGCUGUGUCUGACAUAUCUCUUAAAGUCAAAGAGAGAGAUCAAAUCUAUCUAAGGAUCAUGAAUGAACAGAAGGAAGAAGCUCUACGAGCACAAAAGGAUAACAAAGAGCAAAUCCAAGUCCUCUCUGACAAAAUUGACAACAUGAAUCAGUCUUUCUCUAUGCAACUUGAGUUAAGUCAACAAGAACUCAAGAUUGAAGUUGGUAACUCCUCUUACCUAAUAGAGCAGCUUAUGUCCAACAUGGAGCAGCUCUCCCAAAUGAUUAAUGACAAAAAGGGGGAGAAAAAGAGGCAUAGAAAAGGGAAGAACAAGAGGCACUCUAGAAAGAGCAAGGAGAGCAAAAGGAAAGAAAAGAAGAAGACAACUCCAGGGGGAGCUGAAUCAUCAUCUAAGGGGGAGCUAGAGCCAGAACCAGAAGAUGAAAAAUUGAAUAGCUCCACAUCCCAGGGGGAGCAAAGGAAUCAAACAAAUGAAUAACUGAUCAAAAGACAUCCUGGAAGCAUACAUGGAACUAAAGAGGUACAUCUCUAACUAGUUAGGUAUGUUCUAGAUCCAGGAUGUACAAUGUCAGUGUAUUAAAUUCCACAUCAUUAUAAAUGACAUUCAUGAUUAUCUGCUUUAGAAAUACAACUGUUCACUGUAUAUAAGAUUCGUUCAUAACAUGCAUAUGCACUUAUUAUUUUUGUUUUAAUCAAAUAGGGGGAGUUUUCAGGAAUAAGCAUGUGAAUGAUAUUCCUAUUUACAUAUGAUUUGAUUAUGAUAUAUAUAUAUAUGAAUGAAUAUGCAAGUAUGCUUGCAUUAAGAAAAGCUGUAAAGUCCUUUGAUAGAUAAUAGAAAUAUAUGUGUAAGGACUUAGAAUGAAUUGAUCAAAUGUGUUAGGUUGAUCCUACAUAAGUAAAACAUCUUUUUAAAGUCCUUAAAAAGAAAUAAUGUACAAGGACUAUUAAUAUAGAAAGAUCAAACAUGUUAGGUUGAUCUAUGAUGUAAUAGAUAGGCUUGUCUGAUCGUCGAGCACUACACCAGUAAUCGUAGUCUGCUAGGAGAGUCAAGAAUAACUCGAGAGCUAUCGAGGCAGAAUCGUAGUCUGUAAGAUAGUAGAUCUCAGAGUUCGUAGACUGCCAGGAGAGACGAGGAAGGAUCGUAGUGUGUCGAGUAGCACUUCCUCAGAAUCGUAGUCUAUUGAGGAAGUCAUGUUCAGAAUCAUAGAGACAGCCUGCCUACGAGCCGACCGAGUAUUUGCCAAAGCCAAGUCAAGAAUCGUAGACUACACUCAGAGUUAUAGAGUCUACUAAUCAUACCAAAGGCAGAGAUCGUAGUCGAGCAAGAUCAGAUGAAGACAACAAACACAACGAUAGAAAUCAUAGUGUCAUCUGAUCUCAUAGUCGUAGUGUCUGCACAGCCAAAGCUGAAUUGUAGAGUGCAGAACUAAGACCUCAACAAAUGUGCUCACAAUGCCAAAGCAGAAUCGUAGAGCAAAUACGAUUCUCAACAAAUGAGUACUCCCUGAAUAUCCAAAGGAAUGAAGCCUCUGGUUGGUAAUGCAAAGAUAUAUCUCACUUAAAAAAAGCCAGAGAGCACUCAACGAAUGGCAUGCAAGCUAAUAGAAGAACUAAGUACCAACCCAAUCAGCAUCAAGAUCGAGUUGUGAAGCCAUUUGAGAUGAAUUCUUCCACAAGAUGAUUAUAAGAAGACUUCAAUAGCUGACUAAGGAAAGUUAGCACAUGCAGUAGCUGUCAAGUAGAAAGACGACAACGUUCUUGGAAGCAACCAAGAUCAUAGUGUUUGCUAAAUGAAAAAGGAACUGAUGGAGUACACACUAAGAUACUGGUCAGCCUCUGAAUAAUAAGGCUAAAGUAAUUAAGCAUUGGGGUCAGUCAAUUGAUGAUAAGUGAACGGGAGAUCACAAGGAGAAAGCGAGCUGGACACACCAUAAAUCUGAAGUGUCUUGUUAUUCAGAAAAGGCCAGAGCAAGGAAUCGAGCCAUCAAUAUCUGAGAGCAGUCGAGGUAAACAGAAGUAUCGAAGCACUGCACAAGAGAAAGAAGAGGUGUUCCACAUUGGAGAUCUAAUGAACAUUCUUCAAGAUCGUAGUGUUAAUUCUACACAUCAAAAAGCAAGUUAAACAAGACACUACGAUCAAGUCCAAGAAGGUAUGCACCAGAAUCAUAGAGUUCGAACAACUGAAGAUUGAGGCAUUGACAACGGAUCAAUCUGAAGAUUGAUAUUCGAAUAAAGCUUAUUGAGAGCAUCGAUGCAAAAGGACAACAUCUGAUUUAGAAAUCAGAAGUAAAAAAUAAAGUUGACUACCUGCCCAAGACAUAAAAGUGACAUUUCUGAUGGGGUAGGUGAAACAGUAGACUGCAGUGUCAGAAAGUCAGAAAAAGAUGUCAUGUCAUAUCUGCAGUCUGCACCAAAUAGCUCGAGAUCUGUGAAGUCAUUUGAAUAGCUUUCAACGGCUACUUUCCAACAGGAAGAUUGGGAAGUAGUAUAAAUCAACAGAGCUUCAAAGAUCAAGAGUUGCUGAUGAUUGUGAAGUUUCAGAAUCAUUGAGUUGGUAAAUGCUAUAGUUGACUCUACGAGUUCCACCAAAGAUCAACAGAACAAGUCUCAGUGACAGUGAGACUACCAAGGUGGAAGUGAAACAGCUUUGAAGAAGAACUCAAUCAGAUCAAAGCUUCACUCAACAAAGAUGAGAAUGCCACUAAAAAUGGCAGCCAAGCUAAGAGCUGAGAAGGCCAAGAAGAUAGCAUUCAGGAAAGUGGCUGAGUACAAAGAAGACCAAGAGAGCCACUCUACGAAUCACCAUGAACCUAAAGCCAAAACUGAAUAAGUGCAGAACCAUUUCUGCAAAACAUUCAAGAAGGGUUCAAGGAUUACUAAGUACCAGAAGAACUACCAAAAGCUCAGGUGCUUAGUAACUCUAUAUGGUGAUGGUGCACAGCUGACAUCAGACGAAGAUGAGCUAAAAGGAGAAGAGAUCAGCUGCACCAAGGAAGAUGUGGUCCAGACUCGAAGCUGAACGCAAAGAGGACCACACCAAGCUGCUAAGAAUAAAAGAUGCUCAGAGCUUAAAGACAUCUUAGCAGCUCAGCACCAACAACAUCAACAACUACAAUAAUAAAAAGCAAGGGCCUGAGGGGUCCUUGUCCGAAGGGACUAAAUGAGUUUCUAAGCCUGCUGGGCUUGAAGAGUUCCUAGGGAACUAGAAAAGUUUCAAGGCUCCUGGCCUUGAAGAUUCUUAGUGAACUAAAGUCCCAAGGUUGCUGACCUUGAAGGAAUCUAAGUGAUUCAAGGUGCUGCCCUUCCUUAGUGGAAAUCCUGCUAGUUGAAAGCAGAAGAAUGGAUUAAGAGCUUGAGUCUCUGAACCACUUAAAACCCCUUGUGUCUUUUACUUUAUGUCAUUUACAUUAUGUACAUUAACUGCUAUAACUGCUAUGUAUGUUUUAACUGUUUACCAUUGAACUAACUCUAUGAACAAUGUAUGUAUAAUUAUGAUUAUAUCAAUGAAGGGGAUCUUUUACUUAUUCCGUUAUGCUUGAAAAGUUUCUUAUGAUUGUCAUUUGAUAAAUUAUUAGCAAUAUGAAAUAAAUCAGAAAAGUAUUUAAAAUUAAAAAGGAUCUAUUCAACCCCCCCCCCCCCCUCAUCUAGAUCUAUUGUGCCUACUAGGAACUAACAUGUUGGAUUUAGAAACCUAAUUGGAGUAGGAGUAACAUUAAUAUAUUAGGUUAAGUCCAUUCCCAAUACAUGUAUUGAUACUAAUCGACUAAACAACAGGAGAGGAUUUUGGCGCAGCGAGAAAAGAAAGAGGCGGAAGAGAGGGUUGUGAAACAAAAGGAAAAUUUGGAGAAGAAGAUUGUGAGCCUAUAUUCAACAUAAUUAUAUCUUCAAAAGUUAAUUAUUAAAUUUAUUUUAUUGUCAAGAGGAAUAAUUGUUAUGGUGGAUUUAGGGUGUAAUCAGUGUAUAUUUAUGGUUUAGUGUCGUUAGUAACGACACUGUAUUUGUGAAUGGAUUUACUGAUCUUGAGGGAAGGCAAUUCUCUAAAAAAAACAAAAAAAAACUAAUGUACCGUCGUCAAUAAGCAGUACUCGGCUAUUUAAAGAAUCAAUCAUAACUAUUUGUGAAGAACCCUCAUGUAUAUAUACAUAUACAUAUUUACAUAUAUAAAUAUAUGUACUAUUAUUUUCUAAUAAAGAAUUCUGUAAAUACCAUAAAGUAUAUUUAUAACGGCUUAAUUUGGUCAAAGUCAUUGGGUUGAGACAUUUUAUUGUGUUGAUGUGAAACAUUGACAAGAAACUUGUAUUCUUUAUCUAGUAUUUAAAUAUAUAUAUAUAUAUAUAUAUAUAUAUAUAUAUUAUCGAUUAAUUUUGUAUUUAUGUGUACUAAAAAUCUCAAGAUGAGGAUUGAGAAAAUUAUGAUAAAUAAUUUUCUUUUCCUACAAUUAAUAAAUUUUAUUUUGUGCAUAUCAAGUCCUAACCAGUGUAUCUUUAACAUUCGGUGGAAUCAAAAAGUGUCCCUUGGCCUAGUGUUUGUGCAGUUUCAACAGUUUUCAAAGUAGUGAAAGAAGUACCAUAAGCAUAUCCCAGAAAAUUUACCUUCAAACUAUUACACUGCAGAGUACUUAAUGGUUAUUAUAUAAUAUAGUUUUUUUUAACCCACGCUAUGAUUUUAAAUAGAUAUUCUAUCAUGGAAGUUAUAAUUGGUAAAUUCAUGAUUGAAUAAUGACUUUCUAUAAACGUACAAGGAUUUUAAGAAUUAAUAAAAUUAUAUUUAUAUUUUUUAUAGCAUUAACUAUACUAAAUUAAAAUGAUAUUUUUGCAUUACAGAACGCGUUCUUAACUCUAGAGAGUAUAUGAACUAAUAUUAAAGCAGUUAAUUUAUAAAAAGAAAUAUAUAAAUUAUAAUUUAGUAAUUUAAUUAAUGGUCUUGUAUUGAUUUGAUAAUUAUAUAGAUCAGAUUGGGGAGGUCUAGCAGUGUGAUGUUUGGGUUCGGUGAAUUAUUUUGGUACUAUAUUAAGGUACGGAUUCUGUACUCUAUCAGCGAUACUCUUGUUAAAUUUGAUUUAUUCGUUUGUUUCCUUAUUUCGAAUUCUGUUAUGAUUUCACAUAAUUAUUUCUUGUAAAAUAAAUAUAUUAGUUUCAUUUUGGAGUUAAUACAUAUGACUCGUAUUUGUACUCUUUAAAUUAGGAUAUCAUGUUUAGUAUUUAUUUUUGAUAAUUAUAGAGCGAUACAUGUUGCUACCUUCUUUUUGAGAUUUUGUGACUAUAUUUUGAUUUGGUUCAACAUGUACAUAUAGAACCCUUUUGUUGGUAUUAUGUUGCAUGUGUUAUAACAUGAUAUUUUUUGUUAGAAUAUACCGUAGGGUAUACCUGAGCUAUAACCACCUGUGGGGGUACCACAGGCAUGUCAUCUUGGCACGAGAGGCAUGACAUUUUCCGUGGCGGUGUGAUUAGUCCACGACGUCUCCUUUUUGGGCUCCGGAGAAAGUGGGUCAUUUGGUGUUUUGUUGUGGGAGGCGUAUGGGUUAACCCUAGUUUUUUUUUGUUCUGCGUAUUUGUGAUGUUGUGCCAAACACGCCUAUCUGAUUUGCAAACAUUUGGAUUCGCGGUCCAAUAUGUGAGUGCCUGUGUGGCAUUAUUUUGAUUGCCUAUGUGGCAUCAUUUGAUUUGCUUGUGUGGCAUUAGUUUGACUUGCCUGUGUGGCAAGAUAUAUUUCUGAGCUCAAUCGGUAUGAAAUAACCCCAACCAUUUGUAUCAGCCUAUUAUUUUAUCGUGUUAGUUUUGUUGGCUUCUGUUCAGUUCAAUUAAUUGGGUUAGUUAUUUCAGUUCAUUAUUUUCUUUACUCUUCUGUUUGUUUCGUUAAUUCUGUUGGUUUAGAUAUAUUCUAUUCAAAUCUUUAGAGAUUUUAUUUUUUUGUCAGAGACAAUAUUUUUUCUCUGUUGAUUUCGUAUUUUAGUUGUAUAUCUUUUGUAUCUUUAUAUCCAUACUGGGCAUUUGGCUCAUGCUGUGUUUUUCUUCCGGCAUGUUUGCAGGGGUGAUUCAGGGCUAGUGUGAUGAGAGUGUUGCCUUUGACCAUCUAGGUUGAUUUGAAUUUUAAGUUUUGAUUAUUUUGACUCUGUUUGGAGAAUUGUAUUUAGUACUUUAUUAAUGGAUCACCACUAUUAAUAUUUUGUGCUUGUUAGUGCUCUGUUUAUUUAUUUUGAGGUUUGUUGUGCUUUGCACGUGACCUCCCUUUCCUUUUCGGGAAGGGGGUGUUACAAAGAUAAUGCAUAAUAAGUUAUCGAUAGCCUUAAACAAUGUUAAACUGAUAGAAUAUAAUAGACAACAAGUUUAACUGCAGCGGAACAAGCAAUCCAUUAGAAGAGUCGAGUAGAGCAUGAUAUCUAAUAUCUUCUAUGAUUUAAAAAGUUUUUCAUCAACUUUAUCGAUGAGACUCAGUUUAAUAAAUAAACCUCAUCAUCGAAUCAUCCAUGCACCACGGCCAAGGAUAUUCAAAUAAUCAUCAAUGGUCAUGAUUAUACCGAAUAAUCCAUGGUCAUAAUCAUACCAACAACUGUCCAUCAAUGAACUACAGGCCAAUGAGGACUUUUACCACAUUAGUUGUAACAUUACGGGUCAUGAUUUUACCGAAUGAUCUCUGGUCAUAAUCAUGCUUUGUGGAGUAAAAUUCAAGAAUGAUAUUGUAUCAAAAAUGAUUUGGACCGAAAAAAAUCAAUUUUUGUCAUGAAUAGUACUCUGGGUGAAUAGUACCCGGGUGAAUAGUACCCCGUGAAUAGUACUUUGUGAAUAGUAUUCGUGAAUAGUACUUUAUGAAUAAUACUUUGUGAAUAGUACUCGUGAAUAGUACUUUUAUGAAUAGUACCGUAUAAAUGAAUAAUACUCAUGGACAGUACUCCGGCAUGAAAAGCUUAAAAUUUAAUAAGAAUGUGCAGAAAAUAUCCUUGUGAAAUGAUACUAGAUGAAGCGCAAAUUUCAAGGAUAUUCUACUAAUUUCAUGGAGUAUAGAAGCCAAAACUUUAACAAAAUGAGUAUAGAAUUCGAAAUCUGAAACGAAAUAAUAUUACUUACAUAUUACAGAGUAUGGAAGAAAAUAUUAUUUCAAGCGAAUAUUGAACAAAAAUAACAUCCCUUAUAACAGUUGAACGAAAAUAAUAUUCCAAAGAAUAUUUAACGAAGAUAAUAUUCCUACGAAUAUUGAACGAAUUUAAUAUUCUUUAUGAAUAUUGAACGAAAAUAAUAUUCAUACGAAUACGAAAAAUAAUAUCUCUUCAGAAUAUGAAAUAAAUAAUACCCCUUACCUCAGAAGAAGACUGGAUACUAGAAUAGUAAAGUAGCAGACUUCUCUUCUUCUUUCUCUCUAUAGCUUCUCUCUCUAUAAUUGCUCUUGUGAGUUUUAGUGAAUUGGUGAGAAUGAAGGAAGAAUGAGCUUCUAUUUAUAGAAAAAUAUAGUUUCGAUAAUUGCACGUUUUGGGGCUCGAAAUAUUACAGUAUAAUACCUUCAUCUUUUCUUUAAUUUUUAAUUUAGUCCUGCAAGUAUUAUCAAACUUGCACCACCUCCCAUAAUAGUAUAUCAUGUUAAUCAAUAGUACAAUCAUGUGACUCAAUAGUUCUAUACAUGUGAAAAAAAUAAUUACAGUAUAGUACCUUCAUCUAUACCUUCAUUUUUAAUUUAGUCAUGCAAGUAUUAUCAAUCUUGCACCACCUCCCCUAAUAGUACAUACAUGUGAAUCAAUAGUACACACAUGUGAACACAUAUUCAUAAGCAUGUGAAUUAAUAUCAAUUAAUUGUUUAUUUAUCCGAUUAAUUACCCUAUUGGUCAAUAUAACUUCCAGACAUCAAUUAUUAUCGAAAUAAAUAUCGAUUUCCACUAACACUAAUAAUCCCAACACAAUGGAACUAUCAAUUUCAUCUUUAAUCAACACGAACUUAUUCAUCAUUAAUAUUAUAACUCAUGAUAUUUAACAACCAGGUCGUUCCCAGGAAAGAGGGGGUUUUCCGAUAAGGAUUUCUCCUUAUUGGUGCGCAAUUAGGUGACCAAACAUCUCAUUGACAGAACUUCUAGACAUUGUCAAUAUUACAAAUAAUAAUAUGAAUAACAUUUUCGUCUCAAUUAUUAAUUUAAUAAUAUAAAAUAUUAUGCAGGUAAUACUGUGACAAUAAUUGAAUCAAUAAUAUGAGAGAUAUGAUGCAGUAAUUACUGUAGCAAUAAUUGAGUAUAACUGAAUGACUUCUUGCGUAAGCAUCAAUAAUCAAUACCGUGUGCUACUAUGCAACCACGCGUAUUACUGUACUUUUACUACCGGGUAGUUCAACAGUUUAACGGUAAAACUUUCGCCGUUAUUUUUAUAAAAAGAUAAUUCUGUCAUUUUCUAAAUACGACAAUACUUUCGUUGUGGGGUUCACCAAUGAUUGUGCCGUCGUACGAAUAUUCCCUGUUAAAACGAAUAUUCUCCGACUAAACGAAUAUUCCCCGAUACAACGAAUAUUUUAUAUCAACUUGCUUUCUUUGCAAAAUUUUCAAAUAUCACCCUUAAAUUUAACCUUUUAUCAAUUUAACCAUUUACUAAAUAGAAUAAUAAUUAUAGGAAAAUUGAAUAUUUUCAUUUCAUAAAAUUUGGGGUCUUACAUAUAUUCACUUAAACGUCUUGUUCGUAUAUACAUAAAUGAGAUUGUAAGACUGCAUGGUAUGCCAGUAUCCAUAGUUUCAGAUCGAGACCCUAGAUUUACUUCACGAUUUUGGGUCAGUUUGCAGAAAGCUAUGGGCACGGAUUUAUGAUUCAGUUCUGCAUAUCAUCUUCAGAUUGACUGGCAGUCAGAGAGGACUAUUCAAACUUUUGAAGAUCUAUUAAGACUCUGUGUCCUACACUUCAAAGAAAGUUGGAACAAGUACUUGCCAUUAGUGGAAUUCUCCUACAACAACAGUUAUCAAGCAAGUACAGGCAUGGCUCCAUUCGAGGCCUUGUAUGGACGAAAGUGUCAUUCUCCGGUAUGUUGGGACGAGGUGGGUGAAGCAACGUUGUUGGGUCCAGAAUUGGUACGCAUGACUACGAAAAAGAUUCAAAUGAUCCGGCAAUGUAUACAGACUUCUGAUCCGGCGAUGUAUUCAAAUGAUGCGACAUAAAUAACCUUUUUAUAAAAAUAACGACAAAACUUUUACCGUUAACUGUUGAAAUACCCGGUGAUAAAAGUAUAGUAAUACGUGUGGUUGCACAGUAACACACGGCAUUUUACAGUACAUCUGAUUAUUGAUGCUUACUUAAGAAGUCACUCAGUUUUAUUCAAUUAUUGCCACAGUAGUUGCUGCAUAAUAUAUCAUAUUAUUGAUUCAAUUAUUGUCGCAGUAUCAUUUGUACAAUAUUUUAUAUUAUUAAAUCAAUAAUUAAGACGACACAAUUAUUCAUAUUAUUAUUAGAAUUAUUGACAAUGUCUAGAAAGUUCUGUCGAGGAAAGGGGUUAGGUUAUUUAAUUGCGCGCCAAUAAGGAGAAGUUCUUAUCGGAAAGCCCCCUCUUUCCUAGGAAUGAUCUGGUUGCUAAUAUUGUGAGUUAUAAUAUUAAUAAUGAAUAAUUAUUGAAAGAUUGUGUUGAUUAAAAAUAAGAAUAAUAAUUCAUAAGUGGAAGAUGUUUAUUCAAUUAUCUUGUUAAAUUGGUAUUUGUUCUAUUUGAUUUUGAGGUAUGCGAAUUGAUUAAUAAAGGGGAUGGCCCUCAAUUACCUUCAAAUGAGGUAAUCUAUUUUUAUUUUGAUUUGGAAAAUUAUGAUAUUAUUUGCAAAGAAUGGAUCUUAUUGGUCAAAAAAAUUUCAAUGAUGCAAUCCCUAUUCACUAACUUAUGAAUGAGGGUGCUCCUUCAUUGGACAAUGUCUCUAAAUUGACAUGUGUUAGUCUUUCCUCAUUGGCCAACACCUUCAAAAGAGAAUACUGAUAGGUUGGAACCCGUGAACUUCGUCCAAAUUUUUUACUACGCGUCCGUGAUUAUUCUUAAAUAGUGUCAUGUCAUAUAGGAUGCUUAGUUAAGAAAUGAAAAUCACACCAGAAUCAAAGAAUUCUUCUUUUAUAAUAUUGUGCGUAUUUCUUUUGAGCAUAAGGAUACUUUGAGUGUAGCAAAUAGUGCAAGUUUUCUUCAAUAAUAUCUCCGUUAUACCAGUUGGAAUUACUCUCAUACUAAGAUAAGGGAUAUUAUUUUCGUUCAAUAUUCAUAAGAAAUAUUAUUUUCUUCCAUACUCUAUAGUUUAUAAGUAAUAUUAUUUCGUUUCAUAUUCCUAAAUCUACACUUAUUCUGAUAAGUAUUGCUUCUAUACUCCCUGAAAUUAGUAUAAUAUCCUUGAAUUUUGCUCUUCAUUUAGUAUCGUUUCCCGAAAAUAUUUUUCUGAACUUUCUUAUUAAAUUUUAAUAUUUUCAUUCGGGAUACUAUUCACAAGGUACUAUUCAUGGAUACGGUACUAUUCAUACGUACAGUACUAUUCAUAUGUACGAUACUAUUCAUGAGUAUUAUUCACAACAGAAUUUAAUUUUCUUUUCUGUCCAAAUUAUUUUUGAUACAUGAAUAUUAUUCUUGAAUUUUACUCGACAAUUAAUUAUCAUGUUAAAAAUUUGGACAUUCUUAAACUCUGGAUAAAUUGAAUUAUAAAUCUUUAAUAUUUAUCAUUGAUCUCACUUGAUUGAUUUUUUAUAUCAUUGUCAUCAUCCUCAUGCUUAUAUUGUGGUAAAAGUCAUCUUUGACCCGUAGUGCAUAGAUAAACUAUUGAUUGGUAUAAUUAUUAUCAGGAAUUGUGUAUCGGUAUAAUCAUGACCUAUAAUGUUACAGUCAAAUGAUGUGGUAAAAGUUCUCUUUGGCCCGUAGUGCAUAAAUGGACAGUUGUUUGGCAUGAUCAUGACCACUGGUGAUAUUAACGAAUAUCCUUGGCCCGUAGUGCAUGGAUAAUUCGGUGAUGUGGAUUAUUUAUUGAGUUACAGAGAUAAAAUAUUGAUGAUGAACUUUUAAAUCAUAGAAGAUAGUAAACAUCAUUCUCUACUUAACUCUUCUAAUGGAUUGUCUGUUCUGCUGCAGUUAAACUUGUUGUCUAUUGUAUUCUAUCAGUUUUACACUGUUGAAGGCUAAAAAUAAUUUAUUCUGCAUUAUCUUAGUCAUAAUAUUCUUUACUGGGCUAGUUGAGCUCACCCUUUUCUUUCAUUGUUCUCUUCAGAAAAUGAGAAUAUAGUUGGGACUAGUCGGGGAAUGGAGUGACGGUCCAAGAUGGUUGUUAUAAUAGUCAUCAUUAUUCUAUAAAAUAGUGUAAAAAUAAUUGUAAUGAGUACUUUAUUUGGAUAUUGUCUACGAGAUAAUAUUUGUAUUGAAACUCAGCUAUUGUGUUGUCGUAUUUUGCACAACAAUUGCAUAAUUGAAGGUUGUAUUUAAAUUAUGUACCAUGUAUUUGGCAAUUCAGAAUGGAUUGUAUAGACCUAUUUUGGGAGCGUCACAAUAUAUAUAUAUACUAGCGAUAACCCGUGCCUGAAGGCACGGCGUAACGAAAAAUUAAAUUAAAAUUCAAAAAAUAUUACAUUAUCUAAAGACACAUAUCACCACAACAAUUAAUACAUAUUCAAUCAUCAAUACAUAUUCAACCACCAAAACAUCGAGCAUGUCGGUACUAAUUUUAAAAAUUUCGACAAAAUUUCCUUUAAAAAUAGAUAUCCAGAAAAUUCUAAACCUGUCUACAAAACUUACAAUCAUCAUUACAUAUCCAAACCAAAAAAAAAAAUCAUCAUUCCAUACCCAAAAUCAUCAUAACCAUGUAUAAUUAGUCAGCUUUACAAAAUACGGAACACACAAAAUACACACAAUCAUCAACACAUAUCUAACCACCAAAACAUCAAGCUAGUCACUACUAUAAAAAAUUCGACAAAAUUUUCUUUAAAAAUAGAUAUCCGGACAAAUCUAAACCUGUAUAAAAAACUUACAAUCACCCAUACAUAUCCAAACCACCAAAAAAACCUCAUUCCAUACCCAAAAUCAUCAUAACCAUGUAGAAUUAGCUAACUUUACAAAAGACGGAACACAAAGAAUACAUACAUGCAGAAAAUAGAGAAACAACAUGUUGAGCAUAAGACCCUUUACUUUAUAACUUACACCAAGUAUAUUCUUUACAGCUUGCACCAUGUAUCCUUCAAUAUAUACCUGAAAAUAUUUAAAAUUUAAAAAUUAUCGAAAUAGGUGAGUCAAAAUAAAACAAUUGUAUAUCCAAAACAUAAGACCCCUUACUUUACCCUGAAUUAUCUAAAAAAUAAAUGAGAACACGUAUUUGUAUGUAGGGGGGACGAUUUAGAUUGAUAUAAGUAAGAAUUUAAAGAGAUUGUAACAAAUAAUCAAUUUAUUUAGGAAAAGAUAUGGACUUGCAAUCAAAUAAAGUAUUUUUAGUACCAUUUCAACAAACGGUUCAUUUGCUUAAUGAUUUAAAUCGUAAAUCUGUAUUGGUGGCAUGAUAAAUCUAUGUAUGUGUGUGUGUGCGCGCGCUACUACUGUGAAAGAGAGAGACAGAGAUUAAACACCCAUUGUAAAAAAAACAAAUUUAAAACACCCAAAGUUAAACUGAAGCUGUCGUCGACUUUAUAAGAAGACUUGUGAUGAAAUAGAUAAGAAUUUUUCAAGUGGGGGAGUAUUCCUCGAUUUCAUUUUAAAGCAAAUUUAGUAUGGUUCUCAAUUGUUAAUGGUGAAAUACCUCAACUCCAUCAGAGAUUAAUUAUAUUAUGUAGGUGAUUCUAGAAGUUCAAGAGUAAAAGAAGAAGAUCAAGUACUAUUAUGUGUUAUUAUUUAGGGCUAAGCAUGUUAUAUUAUGUAGGUGAUUCUAGAAGUUCUGUUUAUAUUAGCGGAUACAAAUGUUUACAACAUGUUUACAACUUUGUUAAUGUUGAUGUUCUGUUGCCAUUCUUAUUUACACAGUAAAUAUUUUAAACUCUUUGACAUGUUCUACAUUUUGGUUUUCCAUCAAACUCUUAUUGGCAAUUGUAUGAUCUCGCAUUUUGAUGUGUGCAACAUCCUUUUAUUAAUUGAAAUUAAUAGUUACAUUUGUACCGUAGACUGUCAAAAGUUGGGUGAAGCAUUUAACUCGCCAGAUAGGGUACACAGAUCCUCCAUUCAAGAAGGUGUCAGCUUUUGCCUCCAGUACUACUUGUGCAUGUUCAGCAAGAUGGACUUGAACAAAUACAUGUCCUUGUUCUGUAAACUAUCAAAAGGUUGAUCUGAUGAGAAUAAGACUCGUACAAAUAUCAUUUUUAGAGAUAGGUAGGAACUCAAAGCAAAGAUCAAGUUGGAAAAUCAUCUAAAUUAAAGUCUGUAUUUUGUUUCACGCAAAAAGUAAUGGAAAAGAGAUACAUGAGGCAGUAACCAAAGUAGCAAGGCUUGCAUAGCUAACUUACCUUGACAGAAUUACCCAUAAGAUUUGUGAUCACCUUCCGAAAUCUUCUAGGAUCCCCCAUAACAAUUUCAGGAACUUUAUCCGAUACAAACACAGCUAACUUCAAUUCCCCAAUAGAUUAUACAACAUCGUCGAAAAAAAGAUCUAUAUAAUUUACAUCAUGAAGGUCACCAAUCAACCCAAAACCCACAAAUGGUGGUUUAUCAGAAAAGAAAAUAGAAGCAAAACAAAGCACAAAGUUAGUACAUGCAUGUUGAACAAAAUUCCAGAUAUAUCAGAAAUCAAGGUCAACAAUUAGAACAACAUUUCAAUAGAUCUUACCUCAAUACCUUUGUGCCUAGACUUCUUAGAGAAUAAAGAAAGGACAUCAUCUAGUAUGGAGCGGAUGUCAAAUGGGACCGCCUCCAGCUCUAAAUUUCCAGCUUCAAUUUUUGCCCUAUCAAGGACUUCAUUUAUUAAGGCUAUCAGUGCCUUUCCACAAGCCUGAGCAGUUUGACCAUAGUCCCUUUGGGUUGAGCUCAAAUCCGUAUCAAGAAGCAAUGCAAGCAUUCCUGCAAUAACAUAUGUAAAAUAAAUGGAAUAUAAAAAUCACACAUGUUCCUUUUUAAUUCCUUCAACUAAAGAAUAAAGAACGAAUUUAGGACAUACCAAGGAUACCAUUCAUCGGAGUUCUAAUUUCGUGUGAAAGAGUAGUCAGAAACUGGCAUAGGAAAAAACAGGGAAAUUUAGGCCAGAAAGUUAUAGUUUAAUAACAGUAAUCAAUUAAAUAAAAAUAAAAUAAAAUAAAACAAACAACAGUAAUCUUUUGAAGUUCAGAAAAAUAGGUGGUGGGACGAAACCUGGGAUUUGGCAACAUCGACAGCUUCUGCACGAACUUUAAGUUCCUGCAUUUGGUGGAAAUCAUCCCCAACUUUAACAAUGUGAAUUGCCGCACCAUAUAUCAUGUACCCAAUCACAAAGAAUAAGAAUGCAGUGGUGAUCGCUGUCCAUGCUGUUGGUGCCUUUUGAAGAUACCUGCUUAGGACCCCCACACAGUAACAAUUCGUGGAUGAGACUAUAACAUCUUUAAUUAUUUGCAUUUGAAAAGGAGUCAAACGUUUGAAUUAUUCUUUUCAAUGUAAUAAAUAAUGAUUAGGUGUACUCACCGACAUAUCAUUUGGUGUUUUCGGAACGGAUCCCCAAAGUCAAGCAUGCUCACACACUUAAGGGAAAUGUCACCAUCUUGAUAUUCACGCCCAUACAUGAUUAGGGGAUCAGAAGAGUUGGUAAUAUCAUAUACCUUCACAACAAUUGCUUGGUUCCCAGCAAGUUGCCCAAGUAGAUUUUCCACAAGGGACUCAACAUCAAAGGCUCCACCAAGGUAUCUGUUUAGGAUAAACUAUUUAGCCAUAUGGAGCACUUUUCUCAAAGAAAUGGACCUAAUCAUGUAUAUGCACGUGGAAAAAAAUUUUGAAACGAAAACUUUUAUAUAUGAAGACAGAAAUGGACCUAAGUGAUUCACAUGUGAAUUCUCCUAGGAAGUACAAAAUAAGACAUUAGUCAAAAAAUGCAAAAUAAUAUCAAAAAGAAUUUUUUUUAAAAUACCAGUAGCGUUACCUUAUCCAUAUGUAAUUGAUUAGGCGCACAUGUACGUUGUUUCUAUCACUUAGAUCAACCUGUAAAAGCAAACUUAAUAAAUUAAACAGUUGAAGACAUUGAAUACAUUCAAUACUAUUGUUUCCAUUCUUUACUUCUUUCUUUUUCUUGUUUUUCACCCAAAAAUGUAGCACAUGAAAUAGGAGCAAUAUAAAGAAUAGGAGUAAUUCAAUACUCACAUGAAUUUUUGAAGGUGGAACCUACUUUCUUCUCAUGUGAGGGGAUUAUGUAGAAAUAUCAAGAACACAUGCGAAAAUAUCAGUAUUAUUAUAAUGACAUAGUGUUUCCUACUUUCUUCUCAUGUUAGUAUGUUAAGGAUAAUUCAAAGAAUAGGAUGACAUAGUGUUUCCUUCUAUUACAUGCUAGAAAGAAAAACGGGUUAGCAUUAUUAUCAAGUUUUGAAGCUAAUAAAUUGAUAUGAUCUUUUAAGUUUAUCCAUGGUAAAAAGUGCUUAAAGGUAAGUUUUAAUCAACAUUAAUAUUCAUUAGUUAUUGUAAACAAAUAUAAUACAACACAACACAAAACAGCUAGUUAAUUUCACAAAAAGUUCAAAUAAAAGUNNNNNNNNNNNNNNNNNNNNNNNNNNNNNNNNNNNNNNNNNNNNNNNNNNNNNNNNNNNNNNNNNNNNNNNNNNNNNNNNNNNNNNNNNNNNNNNNNNNNNNNNNNNNNNNNNNNNNNNNNNNNNNNNNNNNNNNNNNNNNNNNNNNNNNNNNNNNNNNNNNNNNNNNNNNNNNNNNNNNNNNNNNNNNNNNNNNNNNNNNNNNNNNNNNNNNNNNNNNNNNNNNNNNNNNNNNNNNNNNNNNNNNNNNNNNNNNNNNNNNNNNNNNNNNNNNNNNNNNNNNNNNNNNNNNNNNNNNNNNNNNNNNNNNNNNNNNNNNNNNNNNNNNNNNNNNNNNNNNNNNNNNNNNNNNNNNNNNNNNNNNNNNNNNNNNNNNNNNNNNNNNNNNNNNNNNNNNNNNNNNNNNNNNNNNNNNNNNNNNNNNNNNNNNNNNNNNNNNNNNNNNNNNNNNNNNNNNNNNNNNNNNNNNNNNNNNNNNNNNNNNNNNNNNNNNNNNNNNNNNNNNNNNNNNNNNNNNNNNNNNNNNNNNNNNNNNNNNNNNNNNNNNNNNNNNNNNNNNNNNNNNNNNNNNNNNNNNNNNNNNNNNNNNNNNNNNNNNNNNNNNNNNNNNNNNNNNNNNNNNNNNNNNNNNNNNNNNNNNNNNNNNNNNNNNNNNNNNNNNNNNNNNNNNNNNNNNNNNNNNNNNNNNNNNNNNNNNNNNNNNNNNNNNNNNNNNNNNNNNNNNNNNNNNNNNNNNNNNNNNNNNNNNNNNNNNNNNNNNNNNNNNNNNNNNNNNNNNNNNNNNNNNNNNNNNNNNNNNNNNNNNNNNNNNNNNNNNNNNNNNNNNNNNNNNNNNNNNNNNNNNNNNNNNNNNNNNNNNNNNNNNNNNNNNNNNNNNNNNNNNNNNNNNNNNNNNNNNNNNNNNNNNNNNNNNNNNNNNNNNNNNNNNNNNNNNNNNNNNNNNNNNNNNNNNNNNNNNNNNNNNNNNNNNNNNNNNNNNNNNNNNNNNNNNNNNNNNNNNNNNNNNNNNNNNNNNNNNNNNNNNNNNNNNNNNNNNNNNNNNNNNNNNNNNNNNNNNNNNNNNNNNNNNNNNNNNNNNNNNNNNNNNNNNNNNNNNNNNNNNNNNNNNNNNNNNNNNNNNNNNNNNNNNNNNNNNNNNNNNNNNNNNNNNNNNNNNNNNNNNNNNNNNNNNNNNNNNNNNNNNNNNNNNNNNNNNNNNNNNNNNNNNNNNNNNNNNNNNNNNNNNNNNNNNNNNNNNNNNNNNNNNNNNNNNNNNNNNNNNNNNNNNNNNNNNNNNNNNNNNNNNNNNNNNNNNNNNNNNNNNNNNNNNNNNNNNNNNNNNNNNNNNNNNNNNNNNNNNNNNNNNNNNNNNNNNNNNNNNNNNNNNNNNNNNNNNNNNNNNNNNNNNNNNNNNNNNNNNNNNNNNNNNNNNNNNNNNNNNNNNNNNNNNNNNNNNNNNNNNNNNNNNNNNNNNNNNNNNNNNNNNNNNNNNNNNNNNNNNNNNNNNNNNNNNNNNNNNNNNNNNNNNNNNNNNNNNNNNAUAUAUAUAUAUAUAUAUAUAUAUAUAUAUAUUCUGAAUUUAUAAAUAUAAUAUGAAUCCCAAAUACUAACUUGGCGCGGGAUGGUAAUUAAUAUUAACGUGGGGUGCGAUGGUAAAGACUCUAACGUGGGGUGGAGGUAUAUAAACUUGAUCAAUAAAUUUUUUUACAUAUAUUUGGAUAAAAAUUGCACAUAGACUCUGACGUGGGACUGGGGUGGCGUGGGUGGGGCAUAUUGUGAGUGGGGGUGCGUGGCAGGGGUGGCAAGGGUCAGAAAAAGAGAAAAUUUAUAUUUUUAAAAAUUGGGAGUUAUAAUAACUAAGGACAAAAUUGUCAUAUUAUUUAUUUUACAAGGUUACUUUUGGUAAUAUAAAAUAUUUUAUUUUGUCAUUCUUUCUCAUCCCUCCAAAUACUCCGACUUUUGAGGGGGGAAAUUGAGCCAAAAAUUAAAUAAAUUUUACCUACAAAUCCCUUCUCUUCCUCCGAAAUUGCACUAAAAAUUGCACAAACUGCACCAAUUAAAACCGCACUAACAGUUCUAGUGUAUGUUGCGGUUUUAGGUGGGUAGAAAAAUUAAAUUUACGGUUUGGAUUUGGUUACUGGUGAAAACCGCAUGCAUAAAACCGAAACUGCACCAUACUAAUUUUGAGUGUUUUUUUUAAAAUUUAAAUUACUAACAAGAAUGAAGCUUCGUUACAUAAAAUGGAUGUUCUUCCUUAUUAUUAUCAUUCAAUUGAUCUCAUUGAUCGCUGAUUUUUUUGGAUAUCUUUUACUUCUUCACACACACAUUCGGAAAACUUUUUUGCCAUUUACAACACACAAGAAAAAUAAAAAAAAAUUUUAAAACAUUAUAAAACUGUUAAAUUGAAUUAAUUUUGUAUUAUAAACUACGUAUCAGUCUUUCAAUGCAUUUUUCUUAUUUAUUUUCUCAAUAAAUAUAAACAAGUUAAAUAAUCCAUUAUUCAUUCAAGUAUCCAGCUUUUUUUAUUUCCCAAUUUUUCUUUUUUAUAACCUCUUCAAAUAUUUCUCUUAUAUAAAAGAUUAGGAUUAAUCAUUUAAUUUUUGAGUAACUGUAAUGAUAUUUCUAGAAGUAGAUUAAUUCAAUUAGUUUUGAAACCGAAAUCGCACAAAAUAAAAUUGCAUCGCUUGGUUCAAAAUUGCACCGCACCAAUUACAAGUUGUUUUAUGUGUGGUUUUGAAUUUGUCAAACUGUAUCUAAGCGGUUUUGUGUACGGUUUGAGUUUCAAAACGCACCAUAUUAAUCACUCCUACUCUUGAUAUUAUAAUAAUAAUACUAUAUUUAAUUAUGAAUUAUAUUGUGUUGCUCAAAAAAUAACGUUUUUAAAAAAAUAUUAAGAAAAAUAAUUUUCGUGACCUCUUUUUCUUCAAAAUUCUUGACUCUGUUCUUUCUGUUUUUCACUUUGGACUUAUAAGACUUUCCUUAUAAUAGCAAGAGAGUUAAAAUUGGUUUGACUUUUGAUUAUUUGAAGGUAUUUCCUCUUUUUCAUAAUAAUAUAUUUUUUAAGAAAAAAAAUUAUUCUAAUUUAUUUAUCGUUUGUAAUUUUCUAGGGUCAUGUUUAUUUAUAAAAAUCAUACUUGAAAUUGAGCUAUUUUUUUUAAUUUAAUAUUAUUUCGGACUAUUUAAUCAUUUGACGAGGGAUUAUUAGUCCCUCACUGUGGGACUAUUAGUCCUAUAAAGUCAUUUGAUAACUUGAAAGAAGGGGACUAUUAUUCCCACAUUAAUCAUGAGAGAUUAUAUAAUCCCUCAUAAAUAGCCUUAAGAAUGACAAAAAUAGUUCAAUAUACUAUUUAAAGGACUAUUAAUCCCCUAUUUUGGGAUAAAAUAUUCCGAAAGUGUUAAAUUAAGACAAAUAUUCCAAUCUCAAGCAUACUUUUUAUAAACAGAUAUGACCUAGGAGAAUAAAAUUUUAUUUUUUAAUAUCACCCCUAACUCUCUUUUUCUUAUACCAAGAAAUUCUCUCUUAUAUUAUUAGUUUUCAACUUCACAUAUAAGAGUAAUUAUAAAAUUUUACACAAAUUUUAACUAUUAAAUGAUAGAAUUAAAUGAUUUUCUUAAUAUAUGUGCAUGAAACUAAAACGAUUAUUAUUAUAGAAUGGUUGGAGUAUAAAUUUACAUUUUAGUGCAUCAUUUCUCAACGGGGAAAAGAUAUCUCUUUAAUUUAAUAUCAUAAAAAGUUGUUUUUCUAUUUUUGAACUGAGAGAGUAUAAAAAUAUAAACAAUGAGUAUAUUUAUGUAUAUACACUUGGGCUGACUUUCUCCAACGAACUAAAAAUGAACCGGCUAUAUCAGCGGUUUUAUCCGUUGCUAUAGCAUAGAAAAUCGAUUUUCUAUGCUAUAGCGACGGAUAAAAUCGUCGCUUCGCUGGAUAGACAGACCGUAUAUACCUGUACGAUGUAAGAAUACAAUAUGUAUAUAUAAAUACAACAUAAAAUAGGGAUGUCAUACAAUUUUACGAGAUUGUUGACAAUAAUAGUAAUUUAACAAUAAAUUUAAAAUUAUAUGGAAAGUUUUCUAUUAUGAAAAAAUUAUUUUCUCUUUAUGUAAGAAUUGUUUGUGAAUUUAUUUUAUUCUCUUUUAAUGAAAUUUAAUUAAAUAGUAUAAUAAUAAUAAUAAUUUAUUUUAUUACAAAAUUAUAUUAUAUUCGGUGCUGUCAAAAAAAAAGUGUCAUCAAUAACUUUUUUUUAUUUUAAAAACAAAAUUAAUUUUGUAGAGAGUAAUAUAAAGUAACAUUCUUUUUUUAAUCAAAAAAGUUAUUAUUACACUACAUUACUAAACUAACAAAUUAUUACUAUUAUGAACAUGCAUGAAACAAAAAUAUAUUAUAUUGUGUUAAUUUGGAGUAAUUUUGUACUUUAGAGUGAAUUAAGAUUUCUUAUAUUGUGUUAUAUAAGGAGAUAAUCCUGCAAUUGUAAAGUGUAUGGAACUGAUUAGUAAAAAAUAAUGAAACUGAUACUGGCCAUGAACUAAAUUUGUGUCAUGAUUAUUUUCUUUUAAUUUUCUCGUUAUUUUUAUUUUUAUUACGUUGUUAUUCUCUAACAACAUCUAUCAUUACAGGUUUAAGGGUAAAUAAUAAAGAAAGCAUUCUCCUAAGCAUGAGGUACAAUAACAAUGUACCGAAGCUCUAUAUUACCAUUAUCAUACCUACAGUCCAACAACCAAACACAAGUAGAGCAUAUAGAUGAAGAGAGUUGAGCAGCUCAUAUGAGGGGAAAAAAAUAAUAAAUAAAAUAAAGUACAUGGAAUAAAUCAAAUAUAUAAAACAAAUACAUCUUCAAAAAAAUUAAAAUAAAAAUAAAAAUCUUACCAUUAUUCAUUAUUACCUACAUAUUUUACUCUAAUUGCAAGAUCUUUAUAAUUUAAGUAAGAUUCCAGAAGCAACAACCACCAUAUUUCUAGGUUGUGAAAACGCAUGCUUAUUUCCCAAGUUAGUGGCCUAUUAGUAUUUGGCCACUUAAAAUAUCUUAUUUCCAACACAAUCAUCAGUACAAACACUGUCAAUCUUUGGAAGAUAGUGCUUCCAGUGGAGUGUCAGUCAGGCUGUCAUGGCAAUAAUUUGAUCACAAAUGUGAUAUCUUCAGUAGCUUUGCACUCGCAAGUUGUCCAGUUGGUUCUUCUCACCAUCAUAUGAAAGUAGAAAAAUCAUUGCAGGAAGCCAGGAACUGUUAAGUCCACUGGUUUAGUGACAUGAUUCCUUUCAUUUGUAGUGCAUCAUUAUAAUUUAAAUUCUCCUGAAAAUUCUGUGUCAUUCAUUCAUGGACAAUACCACAUUGGAGGAGGAAAAGGAUAAAAAUCUGGGCAGAACAACUAAAAAGAUGAAUUCAAAGCAUCAGUUGCCAGUUGGUACAAAAUACAGCAGUUGUUUAUAUGUGCCUUCAGUAAAUCAAGGAAUAACUAGCACCAUCAACUCUAUCAUGCUUUUCUUUUUCCAUCUGAUGCAUUAAGCUAUAAGUUAUAGAGUAUCCAAAAGAUUCAACUUUUUCUCACAAACUCUUGUAGCAUGAGAACCAAUAAGCAAUAUUACAAUUAAUGUUCAAGUUCUUUAUUUUUUUCCAGACAAAUUCAGACAAAAAAUUAAACAGCUUUUAACAAGUGGUUGAAAAAUAAAUUAGUAAUGUAUCACAAAAACAUAAUUCCUGAAUAUUUUGAAGUGGCUUUCAAAUAGAAACUAGAGGAUCAAGAAGAAUAAAAGGCCGGAUGUAACAAUUCUACCACUUGUAAUAUGUGAUGAUCAAAUGAUCGCAAAUAAUUGAGUAUUACUUUACAUAGAGCAUACUAAAAACCAUUGCACAUUACAGAUAAAUAGACUAAAUGCUUUAACAAUGUCCAUGUUUCCCAAACACAUCGUUUAUAGUAAUCCUGUAUUUUUUUUUCCUCAUAAUUAGUAUUUCAAUGAAAGAAUUGUGGAUAUUACAAACGAAAAACGUGGAAUAAUUGAACCAUGUUCUAUAGUGUGGAUGUUACCACUAUAGAACUGGAACAGAUAUAGACAUGGACACCGAGACAUCACCAGCAAAACCUGAAUCCCUACUUGCAGCCGAGUUCCCAGCAAGUGCAUACCCUAUACCCAACCCACCAAAAUGCAAGGAUGUAUUCUCACACCUUUGGAAAACUCUAGCAAGAGAUGCUGCUUUUCUCCUUGCCCGCUUGGUGCCCGUGAAGAGUAAAGUCUGAAGCAACCCAACCAGCGCAGGUGCCUUCAACACCCUCUGUGUUGCAGCCACACCACCACCCCGACAUAAUUCAAGCAAUGCAGCAACUGCAUUUUCUUUUCCUUUAGGACUCCCACUACGCAUCAUACUAACUAGUCCUGCCACUGCCGACUCCUCAUUUCCAACUGCUUCAGCCCCAACUGGCUGCCUAACAAUCAAGGCCAAUGCACCUACCGCUUCUUCUGCAACACCUUCAACUCCCAAAGCCCCUACUAGUGCUUCUAUAGCCCCCGAGUCUAUCAUUCUCACACAAUUAUCCAUGUGAGUAGAUAGGUUAAACAAAGCCGUCACAGCAUCCUUCUUUCCUCUUGGUGUCCCCUCCCUCAAUAGCCCUGCCAGGGCUUCAACUGCACCAUCUUCUUCUGCUAUCCGUUUCUUAUAAUCAUGAACUGCAGAAAGGCUGAACAAUGUUGCUGCUGCAUUUUCUCUGGCUUCGGUUGUGUGCCCGAAUCUCAAAACAUCAACAAUUGAUCCUAAACAUCCUGUUUCAUCCACAAUUCGACUUUUAUUCUUUUCAUAAAUCGACAAGUUAAGCAUAGCAGUUACUGAAUUUUCUUGUGCUACAGCAUUAGGAGAGGAAAGCAGAGCCUUCAAAUGGGGUACUGCCCCAGCUUCUGCAAUAUAAGCUCGGUUUUCUCUUCCAGUUUUUGCUAAUAAACGUAUUUCUCGAGCAGCAACAGUUUUGGCACCCUGUGACCCAUUUGCUAGCUGCUGAAUAAGAAGCUGUGAUGUGGCUUUGUUAGCUUCAAUUGCAGCCUUGCUUGCUGAAGGAGCUGCAAAAUUUUCAGAAGACGAAUCCAAGCCCUCAGGUGGGUUAUAGGGAACUCCAUGAGCAGUACACCACUGCAUAAUCAAAUUUCUCAGAGCCCUAUUGGGCACAAGCCGUGUGUGAAUAAGAGUCUGUCCUGUCUUCGGGCAAGUACAAUGCCCCUCUUCCAUCCACCUUGUUAUUG